ACAAGCCUCUCCUCCGGGUGAUGCCUUCUUUCGGGUGGCCUUUCUGCGAUCGUCCAUGCGUGCGUGUCCAUGAAUAAAUCUCAGCUUGUCUCGGCGAGCUGGGUGCGAGUCCUUCUUUGUUUUUUGUAUGAUUAUUACCGAACCUGUGUGCACGCGUUGUUGUUUCUUGUUGGGUUCGUCCUCAGAGUUGCUGUGAGGUUUAUGGGAUUAUCCCAGUCAAUCCUUCUCUCAUGUAAAAUUUUUAUUUUCGGCAAAUCAUGAGUGUUGUAUGCGUGUUCCCUCAGUAACUCACUCGUUGUGUAUACAAUUGGACAUGCAUGUCACAUGGUGCCUGUAGUUGUGAUGUGCACGCUGUACCUCCGUGUGAUCGAGAUCGAUCGAUAUGAUCGAUGCGCCAUGUGUGCAGUGGCAGCUGACACCCGGCGCUACGCAUGCGCAAGGACCGCUGCGAGACCUGAGCAUUUCUUGGGCCGGGCUUUAAAAGGCCGAACCCCACAAAUCUAAGCCUGAGCCAUGCCCGGUCCUGAAUAAGCGAACACUAUUCUAUUUUUUUCUAUCCCCUUUUCGGGUAAUGAAUAGUACUUAUCUUCCUAUUGAAAUUAAUAUAUAUUAACACAUGAGUAUGAUUUUUAAUGAAACCUUAUUUUUAGUUUCUUAGAACCACAAUGUAGGCUCAGAAGCUCACAAUCACUAUAUAUGUGGCAAUUUCCCAAUAGAAAAAACCCAUGUGUGCCAACAUUUUUUAAGAAAGAUAUUGAUUUCCAUUUCAUUAACGAAACCCCCGCAUGUCCUUACAAGAUACAAACUACUAAAAGAGCCAUGGAGGCCUUUAUUUUGAAAAUUUAAAUAUCCUAUUUUUUCAGUUUCAGAAAAUUCUGAAAAACAUACACAUGUAUGCAAGGAUGUAAUGUGUAUGUGUGUAAAAUUUCAGUAUGAAAUUUCUUGAUUUACGAGCUGCAAUUUUUUUUAUGGACUAUGAGGAUGAACAAUACAUAUGCUAAAAAGCCCUAGAUUUGUCUUUUUUUUUCUGUAGUUCUCAUUUUAACCUAUUUUGACCGGAAAAUUUGCACACAUGUACAUUGUGUAUAUAGGUAUACGUGAAUUUGUUUUCAUAAUUUUUUGAAACUGAAAUACGGUUAAGUGUACGUACGAAUCUACAAAAUACGUACAAGGUAUUUGUAAAUGAUAAAAGUACUACAACAACAACUCAAAACAGGUGUUCGACGGUGGACCUCUUUCAUUUCGCAGGAACAUGGGAAUUAUUAAUGUACAGUAAUAUAUUUACAAUCAUGAUUGAGCAACUCAGCAACAAACAAAGGGGCCUCAAGCAGCCAAACAUUAGCCUCUACACCCGCUCCUAGCACUAGCAGCUCAUGCAAGUUGGUGAGCUGCUCUGUGUCUUCCUCUGUUUCACAAACCUGAACCGAAAUUCAGAAAGUUCAGCCGCAGUAUCUCUAACAUCAGCAAGCAGGUGUGCAUGGCGCGACCAUAAGUUGAGAGCCUGACUCCACUUGAGGCCAAACUGUUCCCGGGCAUUGCUGGGAUCUGCACAUGUUCCCGGGCAAACUGCUAUGCAAACAUGCAGGCCAAACUUCACCGGGUGGGCACGCUAGAAAAAUCGUGCUCGUGUCCACCGGCCGUAUCGAUGCGUUCGGGAGGGAGGAAGCGGCCAUCCGUCCAGUCAUCGGCGUCGCAGACCACGCGGAUUUGUUGUAGCAAUCCAUCCACCUUGCUUGGACACAAAGUUCUGUUAGCGAGCUUCCAGCGCCGUGUCCUGGAGCAACGGACGGUGGCAAUUGAAGCACGCGCAUACGUGGGAGGGAUACUACCCUACCCUACCCUACCCUACUUGCGGGUUGCGGCCUUUUCCUCUUUGAGAAGACGUGCACUCCGACUGCUGCAUCGAUCGUUGGUUGUGACUCGUGUGACCCCAUUGGCAUCGGUUCUAUAUAAGCUGGGGGUGCUCGCACAGCAGCUCCGUCACUCAUCCCACCCUGAUACCCUCGUAACAAACAAGCAGUCAUCGAUGGAGGCUCCACGCAAGCUCGUCUCCGCCGCGCUCCUCCUCGUGCUGCUGCUCGCGGCCACAGGAGAGAUGGGAGGCCCGGUGGCGGUGGCGGAAGCUCGGAAGUGCGAGUCGCUGAGCCACAGGUUCGCGGGCCUCUGCCUGCGCGGCCACAACUGCGCCAACGUCUGCCGGACCGAGGGCUUCCCCGGCGGCAAGUGCCGCGGCGCCAGCCGCCGCUGCUUCUGCACCACCCACUGCCGCUAGUAGCCUAGCUGCAUGCAUGCAUGCUGGCACCUUUGUGCGUGUACCGUGUCCGUGUCCAUGAAUAAACCUCAGCUUGUCUACUAUCUUGGCAUGCAGGCCGAGCUGGGUAUAAGAAGCAACUUCUCCUUGUGUCCGUUCGAUGUUUGGGUUCGUCCUCAAAGUUGCAGCGAGGUCCCAUGUUUCCUUUCACGUGUGUUGUGUGCGUGUAAGCGUGUUCUCCCUCUCACUUGCUCUGUACACGAAACGACGUGCAUGUCGCAUGCUACUUCCGUGUGAUCGAAAGCAUGUUUUUUUGUUUGUUUGAGAAAAGUGUGAUCGAGGCAUGUGUGCAGCAAGGAACUUGACAGCUGCCACCCGGCGCUGCUCAAUGCUCAUGCACGAUGGACUGGCCACGCGUAAAAGGUCCCGGCCUCUAGGAGUGGGAAGUUAUGGUCACGGGCACCAUGGUCCCCUUUAUUAAAAAAAAACAUAUUAAGAAGUAAAAAAAUUAUCUGUGGAAACAUGUAUGUGUGCACUACGGAUCCAUGAAAUUUUGUUUUGAAAAAAUGUAAUGUGUAAGCUGUAAAACAUAAUCUGGCCAUAUACUGAUUGACUUUGUUCCAUCGUUGAAAACCUCGUAUAUAUUCUGUAUAUUCGAUCUAAACCAUUAUGAUCGUGCGUUAAGCAAGACUUGACUUGUUGCCAUGGAGGAGAAAAGAAUUGCUUGGAGGAGUGAUUUUGCAUCUCCCUAGCUACAAACUGCAUGGGUAGUGACCCAGAUGAAGCCAAGUUGCAAGUCCGUGCAGUUAUUAUGGCCUAAUUAGUAAAGUCAAACACGAGUGUCCUAUGAGCAGAGUUCUGUAUACUGUCUGAAUAUCGCUAGGCUGUUUCUGCAAGUUACAAAGGGCAUUUUGGUUUGAGAGUUAUGCAUCGGCCCCAUGUGUGUUUCAUACUACCGUUGAUGAGGAAUCCCCACAUCAUCACACCGAGAUCAUGGUAGGGUCUUGAGCAACAUGAUGAAGGACUCAUGCCUCGGCAGAGUAAUCAAUUCGUUGAUGCGAAUUAGGUGGCUCAUGGGGCCUCUGGUUUAGCCAGUGGAGUGCCAUAAUUGAGCGUCACUGCCCUAACAGACGCAUACUGUCAGGCUCGUCAGCAACCUUCCAGAACACGAUGGGCUGGGCGUUAUGAUUACCGUUUAGGCCAGACAAGGACAAGGACGGCCUCGUUAGUAGUAGAAGACACCAACCAAGUAAUUAUACUACGUAGUAGACAGCCAUGUCUUGUGAAACUCUUAAGUAUCCACAUGCGAAAGUAAAAUGUUGUGAAAUUUUGCACAUACAUAAUAUACAUGUGACUGUGUUUACAAAAAAUUCCAAUUUUUUGGUGUUUCACCAGCGCUGGUUAAACGUGUCCCCGCACGUAAACCAACUGGGCCGGCCUAUAAUGCAUUGAAACAUUCCUGAUUUUUGUGCAGCUUUGUGGCCAAUUCUAAGAAGCUUCUAGAAGCACCGAACAAUUUUUGGGAAGCUUCUGACCGAUUUUUUUUCUUUUCUUGGUUUUUUAUUUUUAUUUUUUAUUUUCCUUUUUUCUUCAUUUUUCAUUUAAUGUAUUUUAAACUCACAUUUUCAAAAACAAUUCAAGAACUUUUUGAAAUCCAUGAGCAUUUUUCAAAUUGGUGAUUUUUUUAUAAAUCCGUGAACAUAUUUAAAAUAUUUUUCAGAUUCAUGAACUUUUCGAAAUCUGAAUUAUUUUUACAAUCAUUGUUUUUUUUAAUUUGUGAUUUUUUUAAUUCAUGACUUUUUUUCGAGCCACAAUAGUUUUUCAAAUAUGAAAAAAAACUAUCUUUAGUCCAAAAGUCAACGGUCAACCGUCCGACCAGGUCAACCAUGAAGAGUGACUAGGCGUGUGCGCUUGAUGAGCGAGCUGCUCGCUCGCAUAGCUAGCCCAGCCCACACAAGGGGGCGCGUGAGCGCUGCCUCGCUACCAAGCGCAACGAGUGCUAACUAGGAGCUUUGACGGCAAAUACCAUAGCUGGCUUCUCUCUUAGUGACGAAUUUGCACAAAAUGACCCCUUUUGAAGAAAUCUAAGCCCAAGAGGCCCCUAAUUCACCUAUGGACCCCCUCCAGGGGAGGAUUGCGGUUCAUAUAUUAACUUUGUCAGUAUUGUCACGAUUUCAUCUGCUACUUAUGUCUGCCGAUAAAAAUUGGUCCAUAUAUUGCCACAUAUAAAGUAAACUAGAUAGUAGCUCGUGCAUUGUAAUGGGGCACAAUAUUUUCUACCCAACCGUUGUGAUUUAUUGAACAUUUUAUUGUUUUAUUAUAGUUACAUACUAAAUGUCGCAAUUGAAUCAAUACUUAUUGAUUUACCAAAGAAAACAUGAUUCUAUUAGUUGCUGCAUUUUUCUAAAUCGUUUGGCUUAGAUUAGGGGGGUAGCUGCAAAUCAAACAUGUGGCAACUCUAACGAGCUUGCAAAACUGGUUGUGUGACAAAGUAUUGCAAUCUUAUUAUACCAAUUAAAUAUGUCUACAUGCAUCUAGCUGUCACCAAACCAAACACUAGCUUUUUGCCUAUGUGUUUCGUCCCUCGAAUUUUACUAUGCCACGCACGACUCAAUAUUUUUCUUUGACUUUUUUGCUGUGAUACAUAAUAAUGAUCACAAAAAUUAGCUUCAACUAUAAUGAAUUUUCACUAAAUAAGAUUGAAAGAGUGAAAAAUCACUCCCUCCUAUAUGUCUAAUCCUCACAUAUGCAACAAAUAUAGAUCGGCCUAAGUAUCAGAGCCAGGCAUUCCAAACUAAAAACAUUGAAGGAGCGUAAACAUCAAGAACCACCAUCACCCAAAAACAAAUGAAGCAAGGACUAAAACUAUAAAUUCAAGAACUUGUAGGGGCCACACGGACUGUUCGGAAAAAAAAAAUACCUUGAGAGCUGUGAUAUUUUUAAAACGAGAUCAACCAGCACUAGCCCUUAGCGGCAUAUUUUUAUGGAAGAAAAUCUGUAAGCAUCCGGCAGAGUAUACUGCUUUAGCAUAUGACAAAUCUAUUUUUUUACGGGAGCAUAUGUACAGAUCUACAAAACACACAAUAGGUGGUAGUUAAAAUUAAAAUGUAUGGCCAUAAAUGGUAAGGGUAGCACACAUCUCAAAGCUUUCCCCGACGCUGGAUUCUUUGCUGUUACCUACCGGGUGGGCACCCCAGAAAAAUCGUGUUCGUGUCCACCGGCCGUAUCGAUGCGUUUCUGAUAAACCGCUCGCCGCUCCCUACCCUUGCUAAGCUCACGGCAAUCCAGUCGUCGUCGUCGUCGUCACAGACCACGUGAGUUUUCUUGUAGCAAUCCAUGGCGUCGCCGGAUCGACCUUUGGCUCGUUGCACGUACUCCCACCGAUCUACUUGCGGCACAUAUUUGUCGCCUUUUUCAUUUGGAUGCAGCUGCAUCGCGUUCGGUUUGACCCCAUGGCUUCGGCAGCUUGUGCGUGCCGCUACAUAAGCUGGUGUGCUCUCCCAGCAGCUCCAUCACUCCACCGCCACCCUCGUACAAUGGAGGCUUCACGCAAGCUCCUCUCGGCGGCGAUCCUCCUGGUGCUGCUGCUGGCGGGCACCGGGGAGAUGGGAGGCCCGGUGGCGGUGGCGGAGGCGCGGACGUGCGAGGCGAAGAGCCACAGGUUCAGGGGCCCCUGCGUGCGCCACCGCAACUGCGCCAACGUCUGCAAGACCGAGGGCUUCCCCGGCGGCAAGUGCCGCGGCUUCCGCCAUCGCUGCUUCUGCACCACCCACUGCCGCCAGUAACCAACCCACUACCUCUACUUCGUACGUCCGCCUAGCUGCAGCCUGCCUGCGUGCAUGCUGGCUUGCUCGCACCUUCUGCGUGUAUUGUAGUACUGUGUGUGUCCAUGAAUAAACCUCGGCCUGUCUGUCAUGGCAUGCUGAGAUGGGUAUAAGAAACGCAGGUUCCCUUUUACUCUGUGUUAAUAAUCAUUCCUUGAGUCGUCGAUUUCCCCGUUGGAUAUGUGGGUUCAAAUUUUCAUUUUUGAACUGCCCACCUGAAUUUUCAUUUCAAGCCCAAGAAUGGCAAACCGACAGAUUACAGGGCUUCUACCAGUUGAGAGAAACAGGGGUCGAUGUUGCGCACUACUUCAGACAGCGCAAGGCCGCAAGGCAUAGGUCACGCAAAAUCCUGGCAUGCGGGGAAGCCGACAGAGGAGCUUUGCUACACUUACGUAAUUGUUUUACGUAAACUCUUUAGGAAAUCAACUUGGCAACUGGUGAUUGGUUAGUAGGAAAUCAUGGGGCAGGGCCUGCAGUUAAAAUCAGGGGGACGGAAGAGAAUUAGGGCUUCUUUGAUUCAUAGGACUGCAAAAUCAGGGGAAGGUUUAUGUAACAGGCUAUGAGCAAUGCUACACCUACGUACAGUUAUUUUAGACAAACCUAACUAAUUAAGGAGUACUAGUAGAAUGCCCGUGCGUUGCCACGGGCAUUUUAAAAAAUUGACCGGUUUGUCAUGAUAAUGUUCCACUGGAAAAAACAUAUGAGGUUUAUGGAUAUAUGAUAUUCCCCCGCACACGUGGUGAUUAUGCCAAUAUUAUGACUCUGGCAAACCUCAAAAAAAAAAUUAUUGUGACACUAGCAGAAUCCACGCACUAAACAUGUGAUGGUGACCGGGCUUGGUUAGCGGUUGAAACGUCCUACGUUUAAGAAAUGUUUACUCAAAACAGAUAGUUCCGGGGAUAAUUUAUUUGAAGGAAAAGGAGCUAUUUGGGUACAACCCAAAUUACCGCAUACAUUUUAGGGAACAAAUUUCAUCAACUCCCCAUCUAAAAUAGAUGGACUUCUUAUUGGGGGUAGAUAGAGUUGCAGAAUAAUAGAAAACGAUGUUAUAUAUACUCCAUGAUGGACUUUCUUAUUAUAGCCAUAAUUCUGUGAAGCAAAUAGUGAAGACUCAAUAGCAUGAAGUUAUUCCUUUUAAAAGGUAAGUCACAUAACACCUAUAAAUCUAUUUUUCCUUCCUCUUGGACACACAAUAAACCGUGUCAUUCUAUAUAGAGGAAAUAAACUAAUAACUACAAACAAUAGCCUUCUACUUUGCGCAACAAUCAGUAUAAAUAUAUUUUUAUGACAUUGUGCUAACGGGAUCUAGGGGGUGGCUGCCCCGCCCAUGCGUCGCCGUAACUUGGAGGUUGCGGUAAAUUGAUAGUCUUGGAAGAGUGGGCUUGGUCAAGUCGGUCAUGUAGUAGCAGUAGCACAUGCAUAAAAGUUUCAGGCGAUAUUUCCAUUUUUAGUGAAAUGAAAGUAGAGAAGGAUAAGCUAAGGCCAUGUAUGCACAACCAACAUAUGAAAGACCAAUGUACUAUAGCCGGACAUCAUUUCAGUUCAUAGAUAAUCAGUGAACAAGAGGGCAUCAAUUUAGUUCAAAACCAACCUUCUAUAUAAAUUCAUGCUAAUUGAAAGGGUAAAACUACUAACCCAUCUCCAGUAAUUCUACAGCCAGAGAAAGUUAGAACAUAACUGCUCAUUAUAAAUUCUAGAAAUGAUUUUCAUCACUAUUCCAUGUUACAAAAAAUACCCCCACCCAAAGGUUAAAACCUAAGAGAGAAAAAAAAUGUAUUUCAGAGUUCAUGUAAUAUCCAGAAAAUAUUGAGCAUCAACUGAUCCACACAUAUUGCAACCUAGAGAAAAUGGCUAUCUGAAUUUCUAAGAACUUAUGAAUGCUUAAUAAAAUCAAUUAGCUUUAGGAGAAACAUACUCAAACACUAUCUGAGUCAACUGUUACUUAUUAUUCCCUAUUAUGACUUUUUAUGCUACCACUACAACCUAAAACAGUAAAUCAUAUAACAGCAAAUUGAGGUACAUCCAAGUGGAUCGGACCCUGAUUAUUCUAUGUACAAAGGAUCACCAAUUGGUAUCUUAUACAUAUAUAAAGAUUGAUCCGCAUAUUGAAUUUAGUAUUAUCAGAAGAAUAUGCAAUUGAUGCACAUAACUAUUGCUUGUGCUUAAAAAAAUACAAAUUGGCAAUGUGGAUGCAAAACUGCAACCAAUGGUAUAAAAUGAGCUAUUCUGCUUCCGCUCGUUAGAUUUUCAAAGAUGAUUUAAUGAGUGGCAAGCACAAACAAUAGUUUCCACUGCAAAUAACCCCCAAAACAAAAAGGAAACAAGCUAGUGUGGAAUGGGUAAUACACCAGCGACCACUAUUGCACUAAUUGACGAUAAAUAGAUAUAGAAGGUGGAGGGAUAAAUGUCUCAAUGGCUUUAAAACAUGAAAAUUCUUUAGACGAACUUGUAAGCAGGACUCACCUGUUCACACCUUCAGCACCAGAUUCAAGCAAGAAUAAACAUACACACACAUAUGGAGUCUCAUAUUCCAACUAUAGAAUGGAUCCAUAACUGCAUAUUUCCUAAUAAAAUCAUCAAAUAAUGUUUAAUUAGCAUAGCCAUCUUGUAUAUAUGGCUUUACUCUGGAGAUAAAAUUAUUAAUAUCUGCUAGAUACAAUAAUGUUCUAGACAUCGCUGUGAGCAAAAAAUAUGGGUCUCCAAAUCUGAACUACCAAUAUUAGCCCAACAGAUUAGGAAAUCUGCUCCUACAUGCAUGCAUGAUAGACCAUCGAUCUUAUCUUCAUCAACGAAAAGGAAAAGAAUGAGAAUAAAACAAAUUGUAGUGACUGUGGGUACGAACAUUUUCAGCAAUCAGCAGUCAUGCAUUUAAAAUGUCUGAGAUGCUUCCGAUUCCCCCACCAAUUGAAACACCCUGAUAAAAGCUCUAAUCAGAUCCAGCGACUCGACAAAAAUACAAAAAAGGAAAAGAGCUUCCACUAAAAGCAAUUGGUACCGUUCUUUCCUUCUUCUUAUUUUCCGAAGGCAACCAAUUUUGAUCUCUCAAAGCUUCAUCAGCUGCACAUAGAGCAUAUAUGCUAUAAAUCCCAUUCUUUCAUUCUUCUGAUUUUCCGAAGGCAGACAAUUUGCAUCCCUAAAAGACUCAUCAGCUGCACAUAGAGCAUAUGCUAUAAAUCCCGAUAUAGAUCUACUGUCAUGGAAACAAAAAUGUUCAAUAACCAAUUCGAAAUAUGAAACAAAGUUUAACUAUGAGACAUAAAACAUCACCAGUUACAUAUUAGUCAUAUGAUAGCAUCUCAUCAGAACAUAACAGAUUUCCAAUUGUAGAAGAGAGACAAUCGGUCUACCACAAUGAACGUGUAAAUAAUAACUUCUAUCUACUUAAAUCAUUCUAUCUACUUAAAUCAUAGAGAUACCUGGCAGAAGAAACGCCAAAAAUAGGUCCAACAAAGUGUUGUGGCAUUGUAGAUUGUUACUCCAAAUGGCACUGAAGAUAAGGGUCCUUAUAUCAGUACCAGUUAUCACAUGACAGUAUUGCAGCAUUGUCUACGGGAAAGCAUGUAUAGUAUGCUGAAACAUAACAACCUUAUUUAAAUUUCUCUUGAGCGGCUUAUACAUGAAAUCCAAGAAUGCACCGAUACAGAUACAUGUACUAGUAUAAGGCUGAUAAGGAUACGUAAAUUCGCCAUUUCCUAAAAGCACCAAUAUGGGGAUACACUUUUUUUAGUUCACAAAAAAUAUAUCAUCACCAUGAGCUAAUUAAAAUUCAGUUCAUUGAAUCAGUACACAACUUCAUCAGCAUUUUGUGCAUAACAUUCCCAUCAGCGAGGGUGAGUUACCGAGCAUGGCAUAGAGCAGGGCGACCUCGGCAGGUGUGGGCAGAGUGCUGACCAGUCCGGUCAGAUCUGCCAACAUCCCGAGCUCCACCAUGGCAGGCAACUCAAAGUCUCGGCCUUUGGCGAGAGAACAAACACAACCAGUAGUCAACAAGAUGAGAAGAAGCAAGAAAUCAUGCUGGAUCAAAAGGAUGUCAAGUAGCAAUUCAUAUAUGAUAAAUCACAAGUGGAACAAUCAUGUGCAGAAAAGGGAACAACAAUCCAAUCUCACAGCUACAGUGCGAAAACCAAUUUAUACCGGAUAGUUAGGCCUCGUGUCCAGGCCUCCUCGUCGAAGAAAUACAUGGGAGUGACAACUACGAAACUAAAGCAAAACAACACAGAAGAAACGUACCCAUGAGAAUAGAAAAAUAACUAAAAUAAUAAUAAUUGGAAGAGAAUGAAUGGAGUUACCGUCAGCCAGCUAAGGUCGUGAUCAUUAGUUUCCUUUUAUUUUGAGGGAUUGAUUGUUUCUUUCCUACCCAGGCAAACAUAUAACUAAUAAUAUAUAUGCUGUGAAAGAAAAAUAAGAUAUAGAGUAGCCUUAGAAAUACUUCUCUUUUCCUACUUAAGUGAUGGUGUACGAGCAUGAAUUAAAUCUAAUUUUGAGGGGUUGCAUACGAGAUUGUAUUGAAUAAUUCAUAUGAUAGCAAAAAAAUGCUUCCAUCCGGAUCUUUCACACCCAAUAAUUAUUUGUCUUAUCCUUUAUAACAUAUUGUAUAUCUAUUUCCCACAUUAAUAUCUAUUUCCCUAGCACUACAUGACCAUCAGGUAAUGUAGGUGCUGAACAUUACGACUGAUAAGCUUCUUGUCAGCAAAAACGCUUUAAAAGUCAACGCUGAAAAGAUAGUACAUCUACUGGAAGCAACAAGAAUGCAGCACACAAUUACAUACAUAUAUCAUUUAUAAAUGUAAUCUUCGUUCCUACUUAACAAUGAAACUGGCAGCGGGGAUGCAUAAUAUAAACCCAGAUGCAAUAAUUGAUGUCUAUAUUUUACUGGGUGAUGGGAACAUGUAGGCUGCAUCAUACGAAUCCAUAAGCAAUUGGAAUUUUGCAAGGAGGCAAACAAAUCGCUAUGUGAGAACGACUCUUUCCUCGAUAAUGGCUGUUUUUAUGUUUCGAACAAAACAACGACAAAGCUUAUGAGACUUUGUUUGGUCUGAUCCUAUGAGAGAGUGUAAGCCCUGCCCAAAUUGAACAACACUACAGAGGACUAAAAAACAGAGUGCAAAUUCAGGAGGACUAAACCAUUACAUACCCGGUGGCCGUUCACAUCGACUACCUUAGUCCUGCGUCGUUCUCCAACAGCACAUCGUCCAUGGCCAUGCCCUCACACAAGGUCGUCCAGCGCAACAGCGAUGCCCGCGGCACACGUUCUUCCAGUUUACGCUCCCCACAUGCCGCAAAAGACCAACGAAACACAUCCGUGCACAAAUCAUUCAACAAGGUGGCCCAAAUCAGUGCCAAUUCAAGGCCAGCAGUAGCAAAAAUCAUGUACAUAAUGACAAUUUCAAAAGGAAAGAUCAGGCAUAUAUAUAUAAAAGAAACACUAAUAGACAUGAUUUUGAGGAAUCCAAGAAUCUGGUAAAAGUUAAAUGUCAAAUGUAUAGGGAAUAUUAGUAUUAUCUUUCUCAUACCUUCUCUUCAUUCUGGAAAAGACAGUGAUUAGAGAUAUAUAUACCAUGCAGAUAAUUGAGAUUGUGUUAACACGUGCUACAGAUAGUAUUAUCAGAAGAAUAUGCGAUUGAUGCACAUAACUAUUGCUUGUGCUUAAAAAAAUACAAAUUGGCAAUGUGGAUGUAAAACUGCAACCAAUGGUAUAAAAUGAGCUAUUCUGCUUCCGCUCGUUAGAUUUUCAAAGAUGAUUUAAUGAGUGGCAAUCACAAACAAUAGUUUCCACUGCAAAUAACCCCCAAAACGAAAAGGAAACAAGCUAGUGUGGAAUGGGUAAUACACCAGCGACCACUAUUGCACUAAUUGACGAUAGAUAGAUAUAGAAGGUGGAGUGAUAAAUGUCUCAAUGGCUUUAAAACAUGAAAAUUCUUUAGACGAACUUGUAAGCAGGACUCACCUGUUCACACCAUCAGCACCAGAUUCAAGCAAGAAUAAACAUACACACACAUAUGGAGUCUCAUAUUCCAACUAUAGAAUGAAUCCAUAACUGCAUAUUUCCUAAUAAAUUCAUCAAAUAAUGUUUAAUUAGCAUAGCCAUCUUGUAUAUAUGGCUUUACUCUGGAGAUAAAAUUAUUAAUAUCUGCUAGAUACAAUAAUGUUCUAGACAUCUCUGUGAGCAAAAAAUAUGGGUCUCCAAAUCUGAACUAACAAUAUUAGCCCAACAGAUUAGGAAAUCUGCUCCUACAUGCAUGCAUGAUAGACCAUCGAUCUUAUCUUCAUCAACGAAAAGGAAAAGAAUGAGAAUAAAACAAAUUUUAGUGACUGUGGGUACGAACAUUUUCAGCAAUCAGCAGUCAUGCAUUUAAAAUGUCUCAGAUGCUUCCGAUUCCCCCACCAAUUGAAACACCCUGAUAAAAGCUCUAAUCAGAUCCAGCGACAUGGCAAAAAUACAAAAAAGGGAAAGAGCUUCCACUAAAAGCAAUUGGUACCGUUCUUUCCUUCUUAUUUUCCGAAGGCAACCAAUUUUGAUCUCUCAAAGCUUCAUCAGCUGCACAUAGAGCAUAUAUGCUAUAAAUCCCAUUCUUUAAUUCUUCUGAUUUUCCGAAGGCAGACAAUUUGCAUCCCUAAAAGACUCAUCAGCUGCACAUAGAGCAUAUGCUAUAAAUGCCGAUAUAGAUCUACUGUCAUGGAAAAAAAUGUUCAAUAACCAAUUCGAAAUAUGAAACAAAGUUUAACUAUGAGACCCAAAACAUCACCAGUUACAUAUUAGUCAUAUGAUAGCAUCUCAUCAGAACUUAACAGAUUUCCAAUUGUAGAAGAGAGACAAUCGGUCUACCACAAUGAACGUGUAAUUAAUAACUUCUAUCUACUUAAAUCAUAGAGAUACCUGGCAGAAGAAACGCCAAAAAAUAGGUCCAACAAAGUGUUGUGGCAUUGUAGACUGUUACUCCAAAUGGCACUGAAGAUAAGGGUCCUUAUAUCAGUACCAGUUAUCAGAUGACAAUAUUGCAGCAUUGUCUACGGGAAAGCAUGUAUAGUAUGCUGAAACAUAACAACCUUAUUUAAAUUUCUCUUGAGCGGCUUAUAUAUGAAAUCCAAGAAUGCACCGAUACAGAUACAUGUAUUAGUAUAAGGCUGAUAAGGAUACGUAAAUUCUCCAUUUCCUAAAAGCACCAAUAUGGGGAUACGCUUUUUUUAGUUCACAAAAAAUAUAUCAUCACCAUCAGCUAAUUAAAAUUCACUUCAUUGAAUCAGUACACAACUUCAUCAGCAUUUUGUGCAUAACAUUCCCAUCAGCGAGGGUGAGUUACUGAGCAUGGCAUAGAGCAGGGCGACCUCGGUAGGUGUGGGCAGAGUGCUGACCAGUCCGGUCAGAUCUGCCAACAUCCCGAGCUCCACCAUGGCAGGCAACUCAAAGUCCCGGCCUUUGGCGAGAGAACAAACACAACCAGUAGUCAACAAGAUGAGAGGAAGCAAGAAAUCACGCUGGAUCAAAAGGAUGUCAAGUAGCAAUUCAUAUAUGAUAAAUGACAAGUGGAACAAUCAUGUGCAGAAAAGGGAACAACAAUCCAAUCUCACAGCUACAGUGGGAAAACCAAUUGAUACCGGAUAGUUAGGCCUCGUGUCCACGCCUCCUCGUCGAAGAAAUACAUGGGAGUGACAACUACGAAACUAAAGCAAAACAACACAGAAGAAACCUACCCAUGAGAAUAGAAAAAUAACUAAAAUAAUAAUAAUUGGAAGAGAAUGAAUGGAGUUACCGUCAGCCAGCUAAGGUCUUGAUCAUUAGUUUCCUUUCAUUUUGAGGGAUUGAUUGUGACUUUCCUACCCAGGAAAACAUAUAACUAAUAAUAUAUAUGUUGUGAAAGAAAAAUAAGAUAUAGAGUAGCCUUAGAAAUACUUCUCUUUUCCUACUUAAGUGAUGGUGUACGAGCAUGAAUUAAAUCUAAUUUUGAGGAGUUGCAUACGAGGUUGUAUUCAAUAAUUUAUAUGAUAGCAAAAAAAAUGCUUCCAUCCUGAUCUUUCACACCCAAUAAUUAUUUUUCUUAUCCUUUAUAACAUAUUGUAUAUCUAUUUCCCACAUUAAUAUCUAUUUCCCUAGCACUACAUGACCAUCAUGUAAUGUAGGUGCUGAACAUUACGACUGAUAAGCUUCUUGUCAGCAAAAACGCUUUAAAAGUCAACGCUGAAAAGAUAAUACAUCUACUGGAAGCAACAAGAAUGCAGCACACAAUUACAGACAUAUAUCAUUUAUAAAUGUAAUCUUCGUUCCUACUUAACAAUGAAACUGGCAGCGGGGAUGCAUAAUAUAAACCCAGAUGCAAUAAUUGAUGUCUAUAUUUUACUGGAUGAUGGGAACAUGUAGGCUGCAUCAUACGAAUCCAUAAGCAAUUGGAAUUCUGCAAGGAGGCAAACAAAUCGCUAUGUGAGAACGACUCUUUCCUCGAUAAUGGCUGUUUUUAUGUUUCGAACAAAACAACAGCAAAGCUUAUGAGACCUUGUUUGGUCUGAUCCUAUGAGAGAAUGUAAGCCCUGCCCAAAUUGAACAACACUACAGAGGACUAAAAAACAGAGUGCAAAUUCAGGAGGACUAAACCAUUACAUACCUAGUGGUCGUUCACGUCGACUACCUUAGUCCCGCGUCGUUCUCCAACAGCACAUCGUCCAUGGCCAUGACCUCGCACAACGUCGUCCAGCGCAGCAGCGAUGCCUGCUGCACACGUUCUUCCAGUUUACGCUCCCCACAGGCCGCAAAAGACCAACGAAACACAUCCGUGCACAAAUCAUUCAACAAGGUGGCCCAAAUCAGUGCCAAUUCAAGGCCAGCAGUAGCAAAAAUCAUGUACAUAAUGAGAAUUUCAAAAGGAAAGAUCAUGCAUAUAUAUAUAUAGAAGAAACACUAAUACACAUGAUUUUGAGGAAUCCAAGAAUCUGGUAAAAGUUAAAUGUCAAAUGUAUAGGGAAUAUUAGUAUUAUCUUUCUCAUACCUUCUCUUCAUUCUGGAAAAGACAAUGAUUAGAGAUAUAUAUACCAUGCAGAUAAUUGACAUUUUGUUAACACGUGCUACACAUAGUAUUAUCAGAAGAAUAUGCGAUUGAUGCACAUAACUAUUGCUUGUGCUUAAAAAAAAUACAAAUUGGCAAUGUGGAUGUAAAACUGCAACCAAUGGUAUAAAAUGAGCUAUUCUGCUUCCGCUCGUUAGAUUUUCAAAGACGAUUUAAAGAGUGGCAAGCACAAACAAUAGUUUCCACUGCAAAUAACCCCCAAAACGAAAAGGAAACAAGCUAGUGUGGAAUGGGUAAUACACCAGCGACCACUAUUGCACUAAUUGACGAUAAAUAGAUAUAGAAGGUGGAGGGAUAAAUGUCUCAAUGGCUUUAAAACAUGAAAGUUCUUUAGACGAACUUGUAAGCAGGACUCACCUGUUCACACCUUCAGCACCAGAUUCAAGCAAGAAUAAACAUACACACACAUAUGGAGUCUCAUAUUCCAACUAUAGAAUGGAUCCAUAACUGCAUAUUUCCUAAUAAAUUCAUCAAAUAAUGUUUAAUUAGCAUAGCCAUCUUGUAUAUGUGGCUUUACUCUGGAGAUAAAAUUAUUAAUAUCUGCUAGAUACAAUAAUGUUCUAGACAUCGCUGUGAGCAAAAAAUAUGGGUCUCCAAAUCUGAACUAACAAUAUUAGCCCAACAGAUUAGGAAAUCUGCUCCUACAUGCAUGCAUGAUAGACCAUCGAUCUUAUCUUCAUCAACGAAAAGGAAAAGAAUGAGAAUAAAACAAAUUGUAGUGACUGUGGGUACGAACAUUUUCAGCAAUCAGCAGUCAUGCAUUUAAAAUGUCUGAGAUGCUUCCGAUUCCCCCACCAAUUGAAACACCCUGAUAAAAGCUCUAAUCAGAUCCAGCGACUCGGCAAAAAUACAAAAAAGGGAAAGAGCUUCCACUAAAAGCAAUUGGUACCGUUCUUUCCUUCCUAUUUUCCGAAGGCAACCAAUUUUGAUCUCUCAAAGCUUCAUCAGCUGCACAUAGAGCAUAUAUGCUAUAAAUCCCAUUCUUUCAUUCUUCUGAUUUUCCGAAGGCAGACAAUUUGCAUCCCUAAAAGACUCAUCAGCUGCACAUAGAGCAUAUGCUAUAAAUCCCGAUAUAGAUCUACUGUCAUGGAAACAAAAAUGUUCAAUAACCAAUUUGAAAUAUGAAACAAAGUUUAACUAUGAGACAUAAAACAUCACCAGUUACAUAUUAGUCAUAUGAUAGCAUCUCAUCAGAACAUAACAGAUUUCCAAUUGUAGAAGAGAGACAAUCGGUCUACCACAAUGAACGUGUAAUUAAUAACUUCUAUCUACUUAAAUCAUAGAGAUACCUGGCAGAAGAAACGCCAAAAAUAGGUCCAACAAAGUGUUGUGGCAUUGUAGACUGUUACUCCAAAUGGCACUGAAGAUAAGGGUCCUUAUAUCAGUACCAGUUAUCACAUGACAGUAUUGCAACAUUGUCUACGGGAAAGCAUGUAUAGUAUGCUGAAACAUAACAACCUUAUUUAAAUUUCUCUUGAGAGGCUUAUACAUGAAAUCCAAGAAUGCACCGAUACAGAUACAUGUAUUAGUAUAAGGCUGAUAAGGAUACGUAAAUUCGCCAUUUCCUAAAAGCACCAAUAUGGGGAUACACUUUUUUUAGUUCACGAAAAAUAUAUCAUCACCAUCAGCUAAUUAAAAUUCAGUUCAUUGAAUCAGUACACAACUUCAUCAGCAUUUUGUGCAUAACAUUCCCAUCAGCGUGCGUGAGUUACCGAGCAUGGCACAGAGCAGGGCGACCUCGGCAGGUGUGGGCAGAGUGCUGACCAGUCCGGUCAGAUCUGCCAACAUCCCGAGCUCCACCAUGGCAGACAACUCAAAGUCCCGGCCUUUGGCGAGAGAACAAACACAACCAGUAGUCAACAAGAUGAGAAGAAGCAGGAAAUCACGCUGGAUCAAAAGGAUGUCAAGUAGCAAUUCAUAUAUGAUAAAUCACAAGUGGAACAAUCAUGUGCAGAAAAGGGAACAACAAUCCAAUCUCACAGCUACAGUGGGAAAACCAAUUUAUACCGGAUAGUUAGGCCUCGUGUCCACGCCUCCUCGUCGAAGAAAUACAUGGGAGUGACAACUACGAAACUAAAGCAAAACAACACAGAAGAAACCUACCCAUGAGAAUAGAAAAAUAACUAAAAUAAUAAUAAUUGGAAGAGAAUGAAUGGAGUUACCGUCAGCCAGCUAAGGUCUUGAUCAUUAGUUUCCUUUUAUUUUGAGGGAUUGAUUGUUUCUUUCUUACCCAGGCAAACAUAUAACUAAUAAUAUAUAUGCUGUGAAAGAAAAAUAAGAUAUAGAGUAACCUUAGAAAUACUUCUCUUUUCCUACUUAAGUGAUGGUGUACGAGCAUGAAUUAAAUCUAAUUUUGAGGGGUUGCAUAUGAGAUUGUAUUCAAUAAUUCAUAUGCUAGCAAAAAAAAUGCUUCCAUCCGGAUCUUUCACACCCAAUAAUUAUUUGUCUUAUCCUUUAUAACAUAUUGUAUAUCUAUUUCCCGCAUUAAUAUCUAUUUCCCUAGCACUACAUGACCAUCAGGUAAUGUAGGUGCUGAACAUUAUGACUGAUAAGCUUCUUGUCAGCAAAAACGCUUUAAAAGUCAACGCUGAAAAGAUAGUACAUCUACUGGAAGCAACAAGAAUGCAGCACACAAUUACAUACAUAUCUCAUUUAUAAAUGUAAUCUUCGUUCCUACUUAACAAUUGAAACUGGCAGCGGGGAUGCAUAAUAUAAACCCAGAUACAAUAAUUGAUGUCUAUAUUUUACUGGGUGAUGGGAACAUGUAGGCUGCAUCAUACGAAUCCAUAAGCAAUUGGAAUUCUGCAAGGAGGCAAACAAAUCGCUAUGUGAGAACGACUCUUUCCUCGAUAAUGGCUGUUUUUAUGUUUCGAACAAAACAACGACAAAGCUUAUGAGACUUUGUUUGGUCUGAUCCUAUGAGAGAGUGUAAGCCCUGCCCAAAUUGAACAACACUACAGAGGACUAAAAAACAGAGUGCAAAUUCAGGAGGACUAAACCAUUACAUACCCAGUGGUCGUUCACAUCGACUACCUUAGUCCUGCGUCGUUCUCCAACAGCACAUCGUCCAUGGCCAUGCCCUCGCACAACGUCGUCCAGCGCAACAGCGAUGCCUGCGGCACACGUUCUUCCAGUUUACGCUCCCCACAUGCCGCAAAAGACCAACGAAACACAUCCGUGCACAAAUCAUUCAACAAGGUGGCCCAAAUCAGUGCCAAUUCAAGGCCAGCAGUAGCAAAAGUCAUGUACAUAAUGACAAUUUCAAAAGGAAAGAUCAGGCAUAUAUAUAUAUAGAAGAAACACUAAUAGACAUGAUUUUGAGGAAUCCAAGAAUCUGGUAAAAGUUAAAUGUCAAAUGUAUAGGGAAUAUUAGUAUUAUCUUUCUCAUACCUUCUCUUCAUUCUGGAAAAGACAAUGAUUAGAGAUAUAUAUACCAUGCAGAUAAUUGAGAUUGUGUUAACACGUGCUACAGAUAGUAUUAUCAGAAGAAUAUGCGAUUGAUGCACAUAACUAUUGCUUGUGCUUAAAAAAAAUACAAAUUGGCAAUGUGGAUGUAAAACUGCAACCAAUGGUAUAAAAUGAGCUAUUCUGUUUCCGCUCGUUAGAUUUUCAAAGACGAUUUAAUGAGUGGCAAGCACAAACAAUAGUUUCCACUGCAAAUAACCCCCAAAACGAAAAGGAAACAAGCUAGUGUGGAAUGGGUAAUACACCAGCGACCACUAUUGCACUAAUUGACGAUAAAUAGAUAUAGAAGGUGGAGUGAUAAAUGUCUCAAUGGCUUUAAAACAUGAAAAUUCUUUAGACGAACUUGUAAGCAGGACUCACCUGUUCACACCUUCAGCACCAGAUUCAAGCAAGAAUAAACAUACACACACAUAUGGAGUCUCAUAUUCCAACUAUAGAAUGAAUCCAUAACUGCAUAUUUCCUAAUAAAUUCAUCAAAUAAUGUUUAAUUAGCAUAGCCAUCUUGUAUAUAUGGCUUUACUCUGGAGAUAAAAUUAUUAAUAUCUGCUAGAUACAAUAAUGUUCUAGACAUCUCUGUGAGCAAAAAAUAUGGGUCUCCAAAUCUGAACUAACAAUAUUAGCCCAACAGAUUAGGAAAUCUGCUCCUACAUGCAUGCAUGAUAGACCAUCGAUCUUAUCUUCAUCAACGAAAAGGAAAAGAAUGAGAAUAAAACAAAUUGUAGUGACUGUGGGUACGAACAUUUUCAGCAAUCAGCAGUCAUGCAUUUAAAAUGUCUGAGAUGCUUCCGAUUCCCCCACCAAUUGAAACACCCUGAUAAAAGCUCUAAUCAGAUCCAGCGACUCGGCAAAAAUACAAAAAAAGGAAAGAGCACAUCGUCCCACUUCGAUUCCAUCCAGUGGGAGGUCCGCGACAUCCAUAUGGAGCCACCUCCGUUGCCAAUUCCACCUCCCGAGUACCGCAUCACCUGGCUGUCUUCUUCAUCUCCGGCAAGCCAACGCCAUCGGGUUUCCGUAACCUCCACGAUGCUUCAAGUGUGGAGUAGCCACAGGGGUCGCGAUGUGGGCGCUGAAAAGGGAGGAGGUGGGCAGGGCUCCGGGGGAUGCGUCGGUGCGCGGAGAGAGAGAGAGAGGAGUCGCCGCCGCCGUGAUCCAGAUCGAGUUCCCAGGCGCAGGGAGAGAUCGUUAGUUUUUUUCUUCGUGUGAGGGGUCGUCGUACGGUUCUUUUUCACGAGUGCGGUCGUCGUCCGUUUUUUUUCUCGCGCGAGGGGGCAUCGUGCUUGGGUGCGAGGGAGGUGGGAGGAUUGACCGAAAAAAAACAGCGAAAAUAAACCGCGGAGACUAUUCACCAACUCGUCCAUUAGGAGUAGAGACUCGUUGCAAAGAUCACUCCAACUCCCUUGGUUGCAACAAGUGGCGCACAUGCAACGCGCCACUUGUCGCAACAUGGUAGUUUUCCCUUUUUCCAUAGAUCCGUUUAUUCAAAAUGUUUUAUCUCGCAAACCGUGCAUCCAAAUCUUGAACCGCUUUCACAGUUGGAUUCCUCGCGCCGAGAUCUUCAAAACUAGAUCCCAUGUUGAUAGGUUUUGACGAACUUUUUUUUCAUGAAAAAAACCGGACGAAAAAACCGAACCGGGAGCACGGGUUUUUUCCCUUUCUGAAAGAAGCACGCCCGUGGCUCUCAGGAAACCACAACCGUGCCUCUCGCGGAAGCAAAACCGUGACUCUCGCGGAAGGAAAAAAGAGAGAAAGCCUGUAUUUUUUUUCUUUUCCGAGGAGGCACGGCCGUGACUCUCGUGAAAGCACAACCGUGCCUUUUUGCGGAAGCAAAAUCGUGACUCUCGCGAAAGGACAAAAAGAACGGAAAACGCAUUUUUUCCCUUUCCGAGAGGCACGGCCGUGACUCUCGCGAAAGCACAACCGUGCCUCUCGCGGAAGCAAAACCGUGACUCUCGCGAAAGGAAAAAAAGACAAAAAACGCGUUUUUUUCGUUUCCGAGAGGCACGGCCGUGACUCUCGCGAAAGCACACCCGUGGCUCUCGCGAAAGCAAAACCGUGACUCUCGCGAAAGCAAAAGAAAAACAGAAAACGCGUUUUUUUCGUUUUCGAGAGGCACGACCGUGACUCUCGCGAAAGGGAAAAAAGAAAACGCAUUUUUUCGCGCAAAAUUUUUUUUUUCAAAUUUUUUUUGAUUGAAAAGGUAAGGAAGACCGUUGAAAAACCAAAACGUCGAAAAAAACCGUUUAAAAAGCCAAAAACGUGUGUGGAAAAAUAAAAAAAUAAAAUCCGGAGGGAGCGCCCAGAGCGCGACACGUGGCGAAUGGCUGAGAGCGCGCCAAGUGGCGUUGAUCGUUGCGAGGCUCCCGAAGGAGCGCUCGUUAACUAGUUGCUCUCUUAUGUUACGGGGUGAUGUGGAGCAACGCAAUUGGGCCAAGAUUAGUUGCUGGGCCUCACCCCAGAUGAAUUCAGGGGGCAGAAGAGAGUUUAUGGAAGGGGAACGUUUUACGCCAACGCGUCGGCCGAAACGUUCGGCCGGUCGCGUCACGUGCGCUCGAUCCACAUGGAUCCAAUGUCUCUCGCGCGUCCUUCUCCCAAUUUUUUUCUUUUGCCUUAUCUUCUUCUUCCUUCCACCACUCAACCUCCCUCCACCUCAGGCGCUGCCGCCAAGCGCCGCGGCUUCUCCGGCGAGGCCACCACCGGCGGACCCCUUAUCUUCUUCUUCCUUCUACCACUCAACCUCCAUCCACCUUUCAUCCCCACCCCCACUCCCCCCUCCGCGACCUCAGGCGUUGCCACCGAGGGCCGCGGCUUCUUCGGCGAGGCCACCACCGGCGGACCCCAUUAGGUUGCUGCACGAGAGACCUGCCGACGAUGGUGUCGCGAAUGCUACAACCACGUACCACAAAGCUACAAUCGGCUUGCAAAGAUGCUAUAACGUGUGCACAACGGAGCUGCAAUCGGCAACGUGUGUCGACAAAUGCUACAACCGUUCAACAAAAAAGUUACAACCACGUUCGUUAGAGCUGCAACCCGAGUUCGCCGGAGUUUGUAGCCACUAUGAUCCAGCGAAUUUUUCUACAACUGGUGUAGAAUUUCGCUACAACCAGUGUCUCAUUUUGCGACAUUACCAUAGCCGGCGUCGGGAAUUUUUGCUACAAUGUUGUCACGCCGUGCUACAACCAGCACUUCAAAUUGCUACAACCGGCACACGGGAAUGCUACCACCGCUGAGAAAAAAAGCUCCAACCAGAGAUACAUGGAAACUGAGGCGGGGCGCCAUGGAAGCUGCAAUCGGCACCUGAGAAGGUACAACUGUUGAUGGGAAAAGCUCCAACCGGCAAACAAGAAUCCUUCAACUGGAGGUGACAGAAGCUAUGGUCGGAGGACGAAAGCUGCAACCGGCUAUGGCAAAGCUACAACCAGCGCUUGCAGAAGCUUUCACCAUGUACGAUGAUGACCGUGGCGAGUUUUCGACUCGACAAGCCGGCGGGCUGCAACUGAUGUUGCCGAUGACCGUGACGGCGACGACUAAGGGACCCCGGUGAGCGUCGACCACCAGCGCUGCGACCGCGAACGAUGGCGUCGUGGCUAUGGAGGGCGAGAGCUGCGGGGGGCGGCUUUUGCAGUGUCGCGGCUGUAGCAACACAUCCAACGACGGCCGGGGGCGAGCGCGCGGCGGCCGGGGGUGAGCGCACGGCGGAUCUGAAGCAGAGGGAAGGGGGAAGAAGAUGAUGACGUGGGAGAGGAGGGAUCGAACGGCUCUAAUCCCGCGCAUCGGGUGGCUGGGGCUAGUCCGGCCGAACUGUUCGGCCGGACUGCCGGAGCCUAUCACUGCCCUUUAUGGAAGGCGUACCAGUUUCUAUUACUAGAUUUUUUGCCCCCACCCACCCACCCGCCUGCCGCCGCUGCUGCUCUCGGCGUUCGCGACGGCGACCGGGCGACGGCGAUGGAGUCCGUGGGCGUGCUGCUGCUGUACCCCGUGAACGCCUACCUGGAGCAAGAGCUCGACCGCCGCUUCCGCCUCAUCCGCCUUUGGGACGCCCCUCCCGACGGCAGCGCCGAGUUCCUCCGCGCCAACGCCUCCGCCAUCCGCGCCGUCGUUGUCUACCCCGGCUACGGCACCCUCGCUGAGCUCAUCGACGCGCUGCCGUCGCUCGAGAUCGUGGCGUCCUUCUCCGUGGGGAUCGACCACGUCGACCUCCCCAAGUGCCGCGAGCGCGGGACGUCCUCACGGACGACGUCGCCGACCUCGCCGUCGGCCUCGCCAUCGCCGCGCUACGGAGGAUCCCGCAGGCCGACCGCUUCGUGCGCACCGGCCUGUGGAAGGCCAAGGGAGACUACGCACUCACCACGCGAGUUGGUUUCCUAUAUGCUUGGCUAGCGUUGACUUCCGUUUGUAGUAUUUUUGCAGUCCGAUAAUCCACUGCCUCCUAGGUGAUUUUGAUUUAUAUACGAUAGCUCAUAUAUGGCGAUGUGGUUCGUAUUUUCCCUCCUACAAUAUCAACCUCAUACUACUAGGCUAGGGAAUUGCCGGCUCUUUUUUGGAUGUUGUGCUGUGUGUCACUUGGAAUCGUGGUAAUACUAAGGCUGAUGGAUGAUCAGAAAAGCAUGAAAAUCACGAUUUUGUUCCUCCCUGACCAUAGCUUCGUAGUAGCAUAAAUAGGAAAUCAAUUGCAACGCAUUUUGUCAUGCUUUCCAUUUCCUUUAUGGCUAGGCUAAGCCUACAGUUUGUGCAUUGAAAGACUUUCUUAUGAGCGGAAUCCCGUUAGAAUUGAUGCAGGGACCAGAGGAUAGCACCUGUACAUUGUGAAAAAUGGUCAGGGGCACCUAUCUGAAGGAUAGAAUGUUCUCCCUCUGUAAACUAAUAUAAGAUCUUGAUCUAAAAGAUCUUAUAUUAGUUUACAGCGGGAGUACUUAGCAAGAUUGAUCUGGUACUUAUUAUAAUGAUGAGUUAUCAGCAAACGAAACUCUUGUAAAAGCAUGGAGUAGUUGAGGAUGCUGGUUUGCCAUUCCAUGCAAUCCUAGGAUCAGAUUUGAUCUUCUCAAAGAAAAGAAACAAUCCACUCUCAUUAUUUUUUUUGCAGUAAGAAAAGGAGCUAAGGCAUUUGGUUGCUCAAUCAGUUAUUAUUCAGAAUCGCAUAAACCAUUUUCCAAACUACAAGUUCUUCACAAAUGGUGUUGACCUGGCAGGCAACUGUUAUGCGCUUAUUGUAGCAUUUUCCCUUAAUGCAGAGGCCAAUUUCAUUGUUAGUUGUACAAUCAUGGAUGGAGUAGGACCAGUAGGUGUGCUCAUAGACAUUGGCCAUGGAGCACAUGCUGAUCGAUCUGAGUUUGUAUCUGCUCAUACCGAGAAGCCCUUUGCCCCAGAGCAUCUUGGUUUAGAUAAUGUUGUUUUGGCCCCUCAGUAGGAAGUGACACGGAAGAAACAUGCAUUGCAAUGGUUGAUCUGUCUCGAAAGAAUUUAGAAGCACAUGCUUUGAGCUGUCUAUUUACAGGGAUAUGUGCAUCUGUCUGUGUGGUCAAGGUGUGCAAUCUCAGCAUUUCGUUUUGGAUGCUUUCAUUCUUAUCUUCGUGUAAAGUGAUUUCCUUGUUUACGCAAAUAUAGCAUGAUUUGUGAUUUCACUUUCUCAUGGAUUUUGUUUAUCCAUUUGCAGUUCAGUGGCAAAACAGUGGGCAUUAUUGGGCUGGGCAGGAUAGGGCUUGCUAUUGCCACUCGAGUGGAGGCCUUUGAUUGCCCAGUCAACUACUACCAGAGAACAAAGAAGGACUACCCCAAUUACACCUAUUACCCUUCUGUACUUGAAUUGGCAGCAAACAGCGACGUCCUCGUGGUGGCUUGCCCAUUGAGUGAACAGACCCGCCACAUUGUCAACCGUGAGGUGAUGGAGGCACUCGGACCCAAGGGCGUGCUCAUAAACAUCGGGCGCGGCCCUCAUGUUGACGAGCCUGAGGCCUUGUACAAUGGGAGAUGCUUAGGGAGGUGUUUAGAAAAAUAAACCGGGUUUUUCUGAAGCACCGGUGCCUAUUUCUAUAGAAGAGACGCUUAGUUAAGCGUCUACCAUGUACAAAUAAGCACCGGUGCUUAAGAAAAUCCUGGUUUAUUUCUCUAAGCACCUCUCCUAAGCACCUCCCAUUGUACAAGGCCUGAGCUUGUCUCUGCGCUCGUUGAGGGGCGCCUUGGUGGGGCAGGCCUCGACGUGUUUGAGGAUGAGCCCGAUGUGCCUGAGUCGCUCUUCACGCUUGACAAUGUUGUCCUGGCACCACACAUGGGGAGCGGGACACACGAGACGCGCAAGGCGAUGGCUGACCUGGUUCUCGGUAACCUGGAGGCGCAUGUUCUAAAGAAACCGCUGUUGAGUCCUGUUAUCUGAUAUGAUGAUCUCUGAUCGCAAGCACGAACAAGCAUUAUAAUGUGUUUUAUAUGCAUUUGUGUGCUAAUAUGUCAUCAUGUUUGGUCGUACCAUUUGAAGUUGUUGUCUCAAGGAAUGUUCUAUGUGGAUGGCCUCAAAAAUAAUUUCUCUCUUCGAAAGCCCGUUUGUUUGGCUUUAUCAAUAAUUAAUAAUAUAUGGUCGUAUGCAUCAAUCGACGGAGAGUCCGAGGUUCUUCCCCUUUUCCAUUUUAUUUUGAAGAAGCACGAUAAGAUGUUUUCCCUUUCAAUAUCUCUUUGACAUAUGUAGCUUCUUAUCGGUAAGCAGUUUGUGAGACCUAUUGACAAGUUUGAUUUCUUUUGGGAUCGUCUCAUAUCUGGUUUUCGUGGUUUAUGUUUUGUCGACGCAAAUGUCAUGCUAUGUAAUAUGCCUGAUUUUCUUGGUUGAGUAAAUGUUGCCAUUUAGUAUGGAUGGUUUGGUAGCUUGCAAGCUUUUUGCGCUUUUCGGUAGCUUGGCUGAGUUGGGCCUGGCUAUGCAUGUUGUGCAUAUAGUUUGGUAGCCUGCAUGUUCCUCAGCCUAAGUCCUAGAUGGAACGUUCUGCUAUUUCAUUACAUUCACACUGAUGAUUAAUCUCGCCUUUUAUCCAAGUGGUAAACUUACCUCAGAUAGAAACGGUUGCUGAAGGAAGAAGAGAAAGGCCGGCUCGAGCUAGAAAAAGGUAUGGCAUCCUUCGGAUGCUCAUCCAACGGGAUGACUCGAGGUAGGAGGAGUGGCAGCCCUUGGAUGCUCAUUCAAUGGUCAUGAAAUCGGAUGGGCGCGAAUAUUUUUUUAUGAGACAGAUGCCCAAGUGUGAUACGUUUGCACAAUCAGUAGGAAAAUGUAUAUCUACUCGUCUAUGACCAUCGAAAUAGAAAACGUAACACAAAAGCUGUGUGAAACAGCAAGAUGAAGUUACUGGUCUACAGAAAUUUCAAACGGUCGUUCGGGUGCGAAGAUUUUCUCAAACUUCAUCGUUUCAUAACAUGGACACAUGAACAUGUUUGUGUGGUCCAGUAAGAGAUGCAGAUCUACUCGCCUAGAAAACGUCCAACACAAAAGUCAUGGAUACAGCGAAAAGAAGCUAGUGGUCGACUUGGUGUGAAGAUUUUGCUGAAAUUCAUCUAAAAACCCUCCAAACAUUAGCAUGAAAUUGAAGACUUACAGUCCAUAAAAUUAGAAACCGACGGUCUGAAUGAAAUAUUUGCAUAUUUUUCAUGUAGACCAUAUUUCGAGUCAAAUCACCAUUGUGUGUGAAGUAGAUCAAAGAGGGUGAGUGCAAUAUAACAUGUGCAAACCUCACCUACACGCUCGCACCACCGGAGCCACCACUUAUGCUCAAGUUGCAUCGCUCGCGUUGCUUUGAGAAAAUGGACGAUUCGAGCAUUCCUGCGAAGCCAGGCCUGGAGUUGAUUUAUGCACCAUGCUAUGCAGGUCCAAUAGCAACACACCUAGGGAGGCACGUGAAUGAAUGCCCCUUUUAUCAGAAAAUAUUAAAUCCAUUUCACACUUGGGGAGAUAGUUGAUCGAUGUCCAUUUUCACACUUAGGCAGAUAGUAGACCAAUGCACUCGAGCCGCUCCCCUCACCCGUCCCACUCCAUGGCCGUCGCCGUUCCAACCUCCUUGUCCUCCUUUUCCCCCUCUCCCAUGCUCCUCCUCUAGCCUCCAGCUCCAUAACUAACCACCACCACCAUCUCCAGCCUCCCGAUCUAGCAGAACUGGCAGCCCAAUCUCAUGAGUGGGAUCGUGGUGGGGCGGCACAGGCGAACAGUGGCUUCAGGAGAUGGCCGGCGUCAGUGAUGCCCCUUGAGAUCCGGUUUGGAUAGCAGAAGGUUCCCGUACCUUUUCCCCAAGGAGUGACUCUGGGUAUCAAACCCACUAGAGGAUGUGCACCAUGACAAAGAGGCAAACAAGUGAUUGCUAUCGAAUUAAAUUCUAGUUUUUUAAUCAGACCUUUCUCACAACUUUUUUGGACGUAAACACUGGUAUGAAAAUAGGCAUGAGUAUAUGUGGUCUUACUCUCACAACCAUACAUUCCCUCUGUCUCAAAAUGUAAAAGGAUAUUUUACACUAUCAUGGUGUCAAAAAUCCUCUUACAUUUUGGGACAAAGAGUGUACAUACCUGUGGGAUCUCAUCUUACUAAUAAACAUAGCUCUGAACACAACUGCCAUGAUGUGCUUGCUACGUGAUGAAGUAGGGAUGUGUUCAAAGUACGUCUUGACUGGUCACAACCUGCAUCAAGAGUUAGUUGUCCAACUGAUACAUCAUUUUGCAUCAUGUUUUCCUACUAUUAUUUAUAUAGUUUUGGGUCAAUAUUUCACUUCAUGAGGUAAUUCUAAUGUCUUUUCUCUCUUAUUAUGCAAGAUUUAUAUGAAGAGGAAAAUUGCUGACAGCUGUAAUUCUGGACCUGAAACGAGCUACAGCAGAGAUAGCUAUUCUCCGAAGCUCCAAAUGACCUGAAAAUUUACGAAGAUUUAUUUGGAACUAAUAGAAAAAUACAGGAAGAAGAAUCACCAGGAGGGCCCCACCAGUGAGCCACAAGCUCAGGUGGCGCUCCCCUGGGGCACGCCAUGUGAGCUUGUGGGCCCACCAGCAGGCCUUCGUGGCCCUCCUUCUCCUAUAUGAUGUCAUUUUCACUAGAAAAAAAUAAAGAGAGGACAUUCGGGAUGAAGCGCCGCCGUCUUGAGGCGGAACCUGGGCAGGAGCAGUUUUGCUCUCUCGCGGAGCGAUUCUGCUAGGGAUACUUCCCCUCCGGGUGGGGAAAAUCGAAGCCAUCGACAUCACCAACGAUCCUCUCAUCGUAGGAGGACUAAUCUUCAUCAACAUAUUCACCAACAACAUCUCCUCUCAAACCCUAGUUCAUCUCUUGUAUUCAAUCUUUGUCUCAAAACCUCAUAUUGGUACUUGUGGGUUGCUAGUAGUGUUGAUUGCAUGUUGUAGUUGAUGCUAGUUGGUUUAUUUGGUGGAAGAUUAUAUGUUCAGAUCCUUAAUCAUAUACAAUACUCCUCUGAUCUUGAACAUGAAUAUGAUUUGUGAGUAGGUCCGUUUGUUCUUGAGGACAUGGGAGAAGUCUUGUUAUAAGUAAUUAUGUGAAGUUGGUACUCGUUCAAUAUUUUGAUGAUGUGUAUGUUGUUCUUCCUGUAGUGGUGUCAUCUGAACGUCGACUACAUGACUCUUCACCAUGUUUGGGCCUAGGGGAAGACAUAGGGGAGUAAUAAGUAGAUGAUGGGUUGCGAGAGUGCCAGAAGCUUAAACCCUAAUUUAUGAGUUAUUUCAUAAGGGCUAAUUUGGAUCCAUAUGUUUCAUGCUAUGGUUAGAUUUAUAUUAAUUCUUCUUUCGUAGUUACGGAUGCUUGUGAGAGGGGGUAAUCAUAAGUGGGUUGCUUGUUCAAGUAUGAACAUCAAUGCUACUUGUGAGUUGCGUUGGGAUUUCCCCGAAGAGGAGAGGAUGUUGCAGUACAAUAGAGAUAAGUAUUUCCCUCAAUUAAGAACCAAGGUUACCAAUCCAGUAGGAGAACCACGCGAAACCUCGUUAAUUAGCAGCACCUACACACACAAAGGCAAAUACUUGCACCCAACGCAAACAAGGGGGUUGUCAACCCCUCGGCGGUUAAUUGCAAGGAUCAAAUUUGGUAGUGAUAGAUAGAUAGAUUUAAACACAAAAUAAAAUAAUGGUAUAUAAAUUGAAGUAAGGUAUUUUUGGAUUUUAUAUAUGAUAAAAGUAGACCCCGGGGCCAUAGUUUGCACUAGAGGCUUAUCUCUCGAACAAAAAGCAUACAGUGGGUAAACAAAUUACUGUUGGACAAUUGAUAGAAAAACGCAUAGUUAUGACGAUAUUCAAGGCAAUGAUCAUGUAUAUAGGCAUCACGUGUGAGACAAUAGACGGAGUCCUGCCUGCAUCUACUACUAUUACUCCACCCAUCAACCGCUACCCAGCAUGAAUCUAGAGUAUUAAGUUAAUAAAAACGGAGUAACGCCUUAAGCAACAUGACAUGAUGUAGACAAAGUAAAUCCAACCAAUAUGAAUAAACCCCAUCGUUUUCCCCUUAAUGGCAACAAUACAAAUACGUGUCUUGUCCCCUUCCGUCACUGGGAUAUAGAACACCGCAAUAUUGAGCCCAUUACAAAGCACAUCUCCCAUUGCAAGAUAAAUCAAUCUAGUUGGCCAAACCAAACGGAAGAUUGAAGAGAAAUACAAAGCUAUAACAAUCGUGCAUAAAAGAGUUUAGAGAAGACUCAAAUAAUAUUCAUGAAUAAUCUGAUCAUCAACCCAAAAUUCAUCUGAUCCCAACAAACACACCGUAAAGAAGACUACAUCGGAUAGAACUCCAAGAACAUCGAGGAGAACAUUGUAUUGAAGACCAAAGAGAGAGAGAGAAGAAAUCAUCUAGCUACUAGCUAUGGACCCGUAGGUCUGUGGUAAACUACUCACACAUCAUUGGAAGGGCAGAAAGGUUGAUGUAAGGCCCUCCGUGAUCGAUUCCCCCUCCGACAGAGUGCUGAAAAAGGCCUUCGGAUGGGACCGUGGAAGAACAGGGACUUGCAGUGGCGGAAAAAGUAUUUUGGGUGGCUCCCUGUUGGUUUCCCGAUUUUAGAGAAUUUAUAGAGGUGGAACUAGGUCCGUCGGACCCAAGAGGGGCCCACAAUGUACUAGGACGUGGCCACCCCCUAGGCGUGCCCUACUGCCUUGCCAUCAACUUGUUUGCCUUAUGGCCUCCUCCCGAAGCUUCUUGGGUCUCUCUUGUCCCAGAAAAUGAUAUAUAAUUGCAUAUAAAGCAUCCAAGAUUGAUACUAUAAUAGCAUAGAAUAAUAAAAAAUUAUAGAUAUGUUGGAGACAUAUCAAUCAUCCUAGCACUGGUCCACCCACAUAUCAAAUUAACAUAGUAGUGAAUGCGGAUCAACUAAACAUAAUGAACGCGGCUAGAUGAGAAUUCCCAUGUGUCCUCGAGAACAUUUUGCUCACUAUAAGAAGUACUCCAGGCUUGCCUUUGCUAUAUAAAGGAUUGGGCCAUCUUGCUGCACCUUGUUACUAUUGUCACUUGUUACUUGUUACGGAUUAUGUUGUUAUCAAACUACACGUUACUACUACUUUAAGUGCUUGCAGAGAAUACCUUGCUGAAAACCGCUUAUCAUUCCUUCUACUCCUCGUUGGUUUCGACAAUCUUACUUAUCGAAAGAACUACAAUUGAUCCCAUAUACUUGUGGGUCAUCACCAACCGAUGAUCCUUACCACCUCACAGAGUCACCUCGUUUAUUAAACACAUAUCUUGGGUACUACACCCGCCAAAGGUGCUGGUCGUGGAGGCACAUCGCGUUCAAAGGGAUGUGUCCCAUGACUUUGUACGACCUCCAAUUGAGCUACACCACAUCAUUUUACUUAUGCACAAAGUAUUUUAUGAACAAUGAGGGCUAUUAUUCAUGAACAAUUAGAUUAUGGUGAGUCAAUGUGUCGAGCUCGUUGAUGUAUGACUUGUAUCACCCCAUCGAGGCCGAUGUGGACACCUCCACAAUAGCCCAUGUGUACACGACAGUGGGGACGCGAUCAGAUCCCCAUCAUAAGACCACUGCCAUUGUUUUGGUGGACUCGUGGAGCAAUUAUCAGUUCAUGACCCAACAUGGAUAUGUUCCGACAUGCAAACCUACAGGGCCCACACAAAACCGCCAACGUAGGAGGUCGGCUUCCGCCUCCGAUAUGCCUCAUCCAUCUGUACAUUCAAGGACAAGUUAUACCAUGAUACCCAAUCAUUAAGUUCAUACCUUGAACAUUGAUGCCUCUAGGUUUUACCUGCCGAUAUAAGAAAGCCAGUCCGACUAGCCUCCAACUCGACUUCAUGUCCCAGUCAAGUAGCGCGUCCAAGUACAUCCAUGAGGCUAUGUCCCCUUAACCAUCUGGAAACACAACCAAAGUCAAGAGGUGCCACAAAUAUGCCCAUGCGUACUUCUCCACACUCGCAUCACCGACAUUCUUAGACAAACCCAUCUAUAUGUUCUCGUAGCCACGAGUACAAUACACUAGCUAGCCUAGGAUCAUUCUUGGUUGGGUCAGUCCACAAUGUAGGUUCAACACCAAUCAAUUAUGCAACAUAUUUUCCCAGUAAGAUCCCUUCCCUCGAUCAAAAGAGCGCUGAUCAUCGCAAAGUCCUCCAAAGUGACCGUCAUCUUGUCAAGGGGCAACUAGGAGGAGUGCGUCUCGGGCCUCCAAUGGUCCAAAAGGGCGGUAAGGGCCAUGGAGUUGAGAAAAAGCAGAGUGCCUUUAAAGUUGAGGACAAAUGGGAGACGACCCAUGAUGCCCUUUGAGAUACAGUUUGGAUAGCAGAAGGUUCCCGUGCCUUUUCCCCAAGGAGUGACCGUAGGUUAUUGAACCCAGGAGUGGAUGGGCACUACGGCAAAGGGUCUGACAAUUUAUUGUUAGCAAAUAAAAUUCCAGUACUUCAACCAGAUAUUAACAACCUUUUUAGGUGUAAACGUUGUUAUGAAAACAUGCAUGGGUACGAUGUCUUACUCUUAUGACCUUAUAUUUAUGUGUGGGAUCUCAUCUUGAUAAUAAACGUAGCCACUAUGAUGUGCAUGUGAUGCAAUGAAGUAGGGGGGGGGGUGGACAAAGCACGUCUGGACCGGGUGCGCAACCUGCAUCAAGAGUCAGUUGUCCAACCGAUGGGCCUGAAAGUCGCGCGGGGUUACCUCGGUUAUUAAGAAAAAGUAUCCCAAAAAGCAUUGAAUGUUUAAUGACCACACCUAUUUUGUCCCCGGGGAAUUGCUUUUCACUACCAUACUAACCCCUUCUCUCAGUGCUAUUCCGGAUAGUGUUCCACUCCUGGCUUGCUCUUUACAUUCUUCUUGAUCUAUCUACGGAUCCUGGGUCCUUGUUGUUGGGGAUCGUUGCAGAAAUUAAAAAAAAUUCUACGCAUCACCAAGAUCAAUCUAUGGAGUUUACUAGCAACGAGAGGGGAGUGCAUCUUCAUAACUUUGAAGAUCGCGAUGCGGAAGCGUUGCAAGAUAGCGGUCGGUGGAGUCGUACACGAAGCGAUUCAGAUCGCGGCCGAUUCCGAUCUAAGCACAGAACAACGGUGCCUCCGCGUUCAACACACGUGCAGCCCGGUGACAUCUCCCGCGCCUUGAUCAGCAAGGAGAGAGCGAGAGGUUGGGGAAGACUCCGUCCAGUAGUAGCACGACGGCGUGGUGGUGGUGGAGGAGCGUGGCACUCCAGCAGGGCUUCGCCAAGCACUGCGAGAGACGAGGAGGGAGAGGGGUAGGGCUGCGCCAAGAGAGAGGGAGACUCGUGUUUCUGGCAGCCCCAAAACCCCCACUAUAUAUAGGGCAAGGGGAGGGGGGCCGGCCCCCUAGAUCCAUCUAGAGGGGGGGCGGCGGCCCCCUUAGGGUUUCCAACUAGGGGGCGCCCGCCCCCCGGGGGGCAGCGGCCCCCUAGGGUUUCCAACCCUAGGCACCAUGGGCCCUUGGGGGGCGCACCAGCCCACUAAGGGGCUGAUUCCCACCCAACUACAACCCGUUAGGUCCUUCGGGGCAGGUGGACCCUCCCGGUGGACCCCCGGAACCCCUUCGGUGGUCCUGGUACAAUACCGAUAAACCCCGAAACCUUUCCGGUGACUGAAACUGGACUUCCCAUAUAUAAAUCUUCACCUCUGGACCAUUCCGGAACUCCUCGUGACGUCAGGGAUCUCAUCCGGGACUCUGAACAACAUUCGGUAACCACGUACAUCUAUUCCCUAUAACCCUAGCGUCAUCGAACCUUAAGUGUGUAGACCCUACGGGUUCGGGAAUUAUGCAGACAUGACCGAGACAUCUCUCCGGCCAAUAACCAACAGCGGGAUCUGGAUACCCAUGUUGGCUCCCACAUGUUCCACGAUGAUCUCAUCGGAUGAACCACGAUGUCAAGGAUUCAAUCAAUCCCGUAUACGAUUCCCUUUGUCUACCGGUAUAGCACUUGCCCGAGAUUCGAUCGUCGGUGUACCGAUACCUUGUUCAAUCUCGUUACGGCAAGUCUCUUUAAUCGUUCCGUAACACAUCAUCCCGUGACCAACCCCUUAGUCACAUUGAGCUCAUUACGAUGAUGUCUUACCGAGUGGGCCCAGAGACACCCCUUCGUUAUACGGAGUGACAAAUCCCAGUCUCGAUUCGUGCCAACCCAACAGAUACUUUCGGGGAUACCCGUAGUGUACCUUUAUAGCCACCCAGUUACGUUGUGACGUUUGGCACACCCAAAGCAUUCCUACGGUAUCCGGGAGUUGCACAAUCUCAUGGUCUAAGGAAAUGAUACUUGACAUUAGAAAAGCUUUAGCAGACGAACUACACGAUCUUGUGCUAUGCUUAGGAUUGGGUCUUGUCCAUCACAUCAUUCUCCUAAUGAUGUAAUCCCGUUAUCAACGACAUCCAAUGUCCAUGGUCAGGAAACUGUAACCAUCUAUUGAUCAACGAGCUAGUCAACUAGAGGCUCACUAGGGACAUGUUGUGGUCUAUGUAUUCACACAUGUAUUACGAUUUCCGAAUAACACAAUUAUAGCAUGAACAAUAGACAAUUAUCAUGAACAAGGAAAUAUAAUAAUAACCAUUUUAUUAUUGCCUCUAGGGCAUAUUUCCAACAGUCUCCCACUUGCACUAGAGUCAAUAAUCUAGUUACAUUGUGAUGAAUCGAACACCCAUAGAGUUCUGGUUUUGAUCAUGCUUUGCACGUGGAAGAGGUUCAGUCAACGGAUCUGCGACAUUCAGGUCCGUAUGCACUUUACAAAUCUCUAUGUCUCCAUCUUGAACAUUUUCACGAAUGGAGUUGAAGCGACGCUUGAUAUGCCUGGUCUUCUUGUGAAACCUGGGCUCCUUGGCAAGGGCAAUUGCUCCAGUGUUGUCACAGAAGAGAGUCAUCGGGCCCGACACAUUGGGAAUAACUCCUAGGUCGGUAAUGAACUCCUUCAUCUAGAUUGCUUCAUGUGCUGCCUCCGAGGCUGCCAUGUACUCCGCUUCACAUGUAGAUCCCGCCACGACGCUUUGCUUGCAACGGCACCAGCUGACUGCCCCACCAUUCAAAAUAUACACAUAUCCGGUUUGUGACUUGGAGUCAUCCAGAUCUGUGUCGAAACUAGCAUCGACGUAACCCUUUACGACGAGCUCUUCGUCACCUCCAUAAACGAGAAACAUAUCCUUAGUCCUUUUCAGGUACUUCAGGAUAUUCUUGACCGCUGUCCAGUGUUCCAUGCCGGGAUUACUUUGGUACCUUCCUACCAAACUUACGGCAAGGUUUACAUCAGGUCUGGUACACAGCAUGGCAUACAUAAUAGACCCUAUGGCCGAGGCAUAGGGGAUGACACUCAUCUUUUCUCUAUCUUCUGCCGUGGUCGGGCAUUGAGCCGUGCUCAAUCUCACACCUUGUAAUACAGGCAAGAACCCCUUCUUGGACUGAUCCAUAUUGAACUUCUUCAAUAUCUUGUCAAGGUAUGUGCUUUGUGAAAGACCAAUGAGGCAUUUCAAUCUAUCUCUAUAGAUCAUGAUGCCCAAUAUAUAAGCAGCUUCUCCAAGGUCCUUCAUUGAAAAACACUUAUUCAAGUAGGCCUUUAUGCUUUCCAAGAGUUCUAUAUUAUUUCCCAUCAAUAGUAUGUCGUCCACAUACAAUAUGAGAAAUGCUACAGAGCUCCCACUCACUUUCUUGUAAACACAGGCUUCUCCAUAAAUCCGCGUAAACCCAAACGCUUUGAUCAUCUCAUCAAAACGAAUGCUCCAACUCCGAGAUGCUUGCACCAGCCCAUAGAUCGAGCGUUGGAGCUUGCAUACCUUGUCAGCAUUCUUAGGAUCGACAAAACCUUCCGGCUGCAUCAUAUACAAUUCUUCCUUAAGGAAACCAUUAAGGAAUGCCGUCUUGACGUCCAUUUGCCAUAUCUCAUAAUCAUAGAAUGCGGCAAUUGCUAACAUGAUUCGGACAGACUUUAGCUUCGCUACGGGUGACAAGGUCUCAUCGUAGUCAACCCCUUGAACUUGUCGAUAACCCUUAGCGACAAGCCGAGCUUUAUAGAUGGUCACAUUGCCAUCCGCGUCCGUCUUCUUCUUAAAGAUCCAUUUGUUUUCUAUGGCUCGCCGAUCAUCGGGCAAGUCCGUCAAAGUCCAUACUUUGUUUUCAUACAUGGAUCCUAUCUCGGAUUUCAUGGCUUCAAGCCAUUUAUUGGAAUCUGGGCCCGCCAUCGCUUCUUCAUAGUUCAAAGGUUCACCAUUGUCUAACAACAUUAUUUCUAGGACAGGGUUGCCAUACCAUUCUGGCGUGGAAUGUGUCCUUGUGGACCUACGAAGUUCAGUAGUAACUUGAUCCGAAGUUCCUUGAUCAUCAUCAUUAACUUCCUCUCUAGUCGUCUUGAGCUGCGCUACCUUCCGGUUCAAGAGGCAGUACUUCAUCAAGUUCUACUUUCCUCCCACUUACUUCUUUCGAGAGAAACUCUUUCUCUAGAAAGGAUCCAUUCUUGGCAACAAAGAUCUUGCCUUCGGAUCUGAGGUAGAAGGUAUACCCAAUAGUUUCCUUAGGGUAUCCUAUGAAGACGCAUUUUCCCGACUUGGGUUCGAGCUUUUCAGGUUGAAGUUUCUUGACAUAAGCAUCGCAUCCCCAAACUUUUAGAAACGACAGCUUAGGUUUCUUCCCAAACCAUAAUUCAUACGAUGUCGUCUCAACGGAUUUCGACGGAGCCCUAUUUAAAGUGAAUGCAAUUGUCUCUAAAGCAUAUCCCCAAAAUGAUAGCGGUAGGUCGGUAAGAGACAUCAUAGAUUGCACCAUGUCCAACAAAGUGCGAUUACGACGUUCGGACACACCAUUACGCUGAGGUGUUCCAGGCGGCGUGAGUUGUGAAACAAGUCCACAUUUCCUUAAGUGUGUGCCAAAUUCGUGACUCAAAUAUUCUCCCCCACGAUCUGAUCGUAAGAACUUUAUUUUCCUGUCACGUUGAUUCUCAACCUCACUCUGAAAUUCCUUGAACUUUUCAAAGGUCUCAGACUUGUGUUUCAUUAAGUAGACAUACCCAUAUCUACUUAAGUCAUCAGUGAGGGUGAGAACAUAACGAUAACCACCGCGAGCUUCAACGAUCAUUGGACCGCACACAUCAGUAUGUAUGAUUUCCAAUAAGUUGGUUGCUCGCUCCAUUGUUCCGGAGGACGGAGUCUUGGUCAUUUUGCCCAUGAGGCAUGGUUUGCACGUGUCAAAUGAUUCAUAAUCAAGAGACUCCAAAAGUUCAUCUGCAUGGAGUUUCUUCAUGCGUUUGACACCAAUGUGACCAAGGCGGCAGUGCCACAAGUAUGUGGGACUAUCAUUAUCAACCUUACAUCUUUUGGCAUUCACACUUUGAAUAUGUGUAACAUCACGUUCGAGAUUCAAUAAGAAUAAACCAUUGACCAGCGGGGCAUGACCAUAAAACAUAUCUCUCAUAUAAAUAGAACAACCAUUAUUCUCAGAUUUAAAUGAGUAGCCAUCUCGCAUUAAACGAGAUCCAGAUACAAUGUUCAUGCUCAAAGAUGGCACUAAAUAACAAUUAUUGAGGUUUAAAACUAAUCCCGUAGGUAAAUGUAGAGGUAGCAUGCCGACGGCGAUCACAUCGACCUUGGAACCAUUCCCGACGCGCAUCGUCACCUCGUCCUUCGCCAGUCUCCGCUUAUUCCGCAGCUCCUGUUUUGAGUUACAAAUAUGAGCAACCGCACCAGUAUCAAAUACCCAGGAGCUACUACGAGCGCUGGUUAGGUACACAUCUAUAACAUGUAUAUCACAUAUACCUUUGGUAUUGCCGGCCUUCUUAUCCGCUAAGUACUUGGGGCAGUUUCGCUUCCAGUGACCGUUUACCUUGCAAUAAAAGCACUCUGUUUCAGGCUUGGGUCCAUGCUUUGGCUUCUUCCUGGUAACUGGCUUACCGGGCGCGGCAACUCCCUUGCCGUCCUUCUUGAAGUUCUUUUUACCCUUGCCUUUCUUGAACUUAGUGGUUUUAUUCACCAUCAACACUUGAUGUUCCUUUUUGAUCUCCACCUCCGCUGAUUUCAGCAUUGAAUAUACCUCAGGAAUGGUCUUUUCCAUCCCCUGCAUAUUGAAGUUCAUCACAAAGCUCUUGUAGCUAGGUGGGAGCGACUGAAGGAUUCUGUCAACGACCGCAUCAUCCGGGAGAUUAACUCCCAGCUGACAUAAGCGGUUGUGCAACCCAGACAUUUUGAGUAUGUGCUCGCUGACAGAACUAUUCUCCUCCAUCUUACAACUAUAGAACUUAUCGGAGACUUCAUAUCUCUCGACCCGGGCAUGAGCUUGGAAAACCAUUUUCAGCUCUUGGAACAUCUCAUAUGCUCCGUGUUGCUCAAAACGCUUUUGGAGCCCCGGUUCAAACCUGUAAAGCAUGCCGCACUGAACCAGGGAGCAAUCAUCACUACGCGACUGCCAGGCGUUCAUAACGUCUUGAGUUGCUGGGAAAACAGGUGCCUCACCAAGCGGUGCUUCAAGGACAUAUGCUUUCUUGGCAGCUAUGAGGAUAAUCCUCAAGUUACGGACCCAGUCCGUGUAGUUGCUACCAUCGUCUUUCAGCUUGGUUUUCUCUAGGAACGCGUUGAAGUUGAGGGCAACAUUAGCGUGGGACAUUUGAUCUACAAGACAUAUUGCAAAGUUUUAGACUAUGUUCAUGAUAAUUAAGUUCAUCUAAUUAAAUUAUUUAAUGAACUCCCACUCAGAUAGACAUCCCUCUAGUCAUCUAAGUGAUACAUGAUCCGAGUCAACUAGGCCGUGUCCGAUCAUCACGUGAGACGGACUAGUCAUCAUCGGUCAACAUCUUCAUGUUGAUCGUAUCUUCUAUAUGACUCAUGUUCGACCUUUCGGUCUUCCGUGUUCCGAGGCCAUGUCUGUACAUGCUAGGCUCGUCAAGUCAACCUAAGUGUAUUGCGUGUGUAAAUCUGGCUUACACCCGUUGUAUUCGAACGUUAGAAUCUAUCGCACCCGAUCAUCACGUGGUGCUUCGAAACAAUGAACCUUCGCAAUGGUGCACAGUUAGGGGGAACACUUUCUUGAAAUUAUUGUGAGGGAUCAUCUUAUUUAAGCUACCAUCGUUCUAAGCAAAUAAGAUGUAAAACAUGAUAAACAUCACAUGCAAUCAAAUAGUGACAUGAUAUGGCCAAUAUCAUUUUGCUCCUUUUGAUCUCCAUCUUCGGGGCGCCAUGAUCAUCAUCGUCACCGGCAUGACACCAGGAUCUCCAUCAUCGUGUCUUCAUGAAGUUGUCUCGCCAACUAUUACUUCUACUACUAUGGCUAACGGUUAGCAAUUAAGUAAAGUAAUUACAUGACGUUUAUGUUGACACGCAGGUCAUAAAUAAAUUAAGACAACUCCUAUGGCUCCUGUCGGUUGUCAUACUCAUCGACAUGCAAGUCGUGAUUCCUAUUACAAGAACAUGGUCAAUCUCAUGCAUCACAUAUAUCAUUCAUCACAUCCUUUUGGCCAUAUCACAUCACACGGCAUAUGCUGCAAGAACAAGUUAGACGUCCUCUAAUUGUUGUUGCAAAUUUUACGUGGCUGCUAUAGGUUUCUAGCAAGAACGUUUCUUACCUACGCCAAAACCACAACGUGAUAUGCCAAUUUCUAUUUACCCUUCGUAAGGACCCUUUUCAUCGAAUCCGAUCCGACUAAAGUGGGAGAGACAGACACCCGCUAGCCACCUUAUGCAACUAGUGCAUGUCAGUCGGUGGAACCUGUCUCACGUAAGCGUACGUGUAAGGUCGGUCCGGGCCGCUUCAUCCCACGGUGCCGCCGAAUCAAGAUAAGACUAGUAACGGCAAGUAAAUUGACAAAAUCGACGCCCACAACAACUUGUGUUCUACUCGUGCAUAGAAACUACGCAUAGACCUAGCUCAUGAUGCCACUGUUGGGGAUCGUUGCAGAAAUUAAAAAAUUUUCUACGCAUCACCAAGAUCAAUCUAUGGAGUUUACUAGCAACGAGAGGGGAGUGCAUCUUCAUACCUUUGAAGAUCGUGAUGCGGAAGCGUUGCAAGAUAGUGGUCGGUGGAGUCAUACACGAAGCGAUUCAGAUCACGGCCGAUUCCGAUCUAAGCACCGAACAACGGUGCCUCCGCGUUCAACACACGUGCAGCCCGGUGACGUCUCCCGCGCCUUGAUCAGCAAGGAGAGAGGGAGAGGUUGGGGAAGACUCCGUCCAGCAGCAGCACGACGGCGUGGUGGUGGUGGAGGAGCGUCGCACUCCAGCAGGGCUUCGCCAAUCACUGCGAGAGACGAGGAGGGAGAGGGGUAGGGCUGCGCCAAGAGAGAGGGAGACUCGUGUUUCUGGCAGCCCCAAAACCCCCACUAUAUAUAGGGGAAGGGGAGGGGGCCGGCCCCCUAGAUCCAUCUAGAGGGGGGCGGCGGCCCCUCGGGGGGGCAGCGGCCCCCUUAGGGUUUCCAACUAGGGGGGCGCCCGCCCCCAAGGGGGACAGCGGCCCCCCUAGGGUUUCCAACCCUAGGCGCCUUGGGCCCUUGGGGGGGCGCACCAGCCCACUAAGGGGCUGGUUCCCACCCAACUACAGCCCAUUAGGUCCUUCGGGGCAGGUGGACCCUCCCGGUGGACCCCCGGAACCCCUUCGGUGGUCCCGGUACAAUACCGAUAAACCCCAAAACCUUUCCGGUGACUGAAACUGGACUUCCCAUAUAUAAAUCUUCACCUCCGAACCAUUCCGGAACUCCUCGUGACGUCAGGGAUCUCAUCCGGGACUCUGAACAACAUUCGGUAACCACGUACAUCUAUUCCCUAUAACCCUAGCGUCAUCGAACCUUAAGUGUGUAGACCCUACGGGUUCGGGAAUUAUGCAGACAUGACCGAGACAUCUCUCCGGCCAAUAACCAACAGCGGGAUCUGGAUACCCAUGUUGGCUCCCACAUGUUCCACAAUGAUCUCAUCGGAUGAACCACGAUGUCAAGGAUUCAAUCAAUCCCGUGUACGAUUCGCUUUGUCUACCGGUAUAGCACUUGCCCGAGAUUCGAUCGUCAGUAUACCGAUACCUUGUUCAAUCUCGUUACGGCAAGUCUCUUUACUCAUUCCGUAACACAUCAUCCCGUGACCAACCCCUUAGUCACAUUGAGCUCAUUACGAUGAUGUCUUACCGAGUGGGCCCAGAGAUACCUCUCCGGCAUACGAAGUGACAAAUCCCAGUCUCGAUUCGUGCCAACCCAACAGAUACUUUCGGGGAUACCCGUAGUGUACCUUUAUAGCCACCCAGUUACGUUGUGACGUUUGGCACACCCAAAGCAUUCCUACGAUAUCCGGGAGUUGCACAAUCUCAUGGUCUAAGGAAAUGAUACUUGACAUUAGAAAAGCUUUAGCAGACGAACUACAUGAUCUUGUGCUAUGCUUAGGAUUGGGUCUUGUCCAUCACAUCAUUCUCCUAAUGAUGUAAUCCCGUUAUCAACGACAUCCAAUGUCCAUGGUCAGGAAACUGUAACCAUCUAUUGAUCAACGAGCUAGUCAACUAGAGGCUCACUAGGGACAUGUUGUGGUCUAUGUAUGCACACAUGUAUUACGAUUUCCGAAUAACACAAUUAUAGCAUGAACAAUAGACAAUUAUCAUGAAUAAGGAAAUAUAAUAAUAACCAUUUUAUUAUUGCCUCUAGGGCAUAUUUCCAACACUUGUAUAGGGCCUUAGAAUGAGAAGAAGACAAGAUACAUCUCUGUUGCAAUCGGACACAUACAAAUAAUGUCAAGUACAAAAAGUCAUUCCAAUAAUCCCAUGCACAAAUACAUAGGGUUGCAAGGCCUUGCCUCAACCCAUUGCCUUACAAAAUUACUCAUACUAGUAAGGUACACGUGCAUUGCACGCAUGAGAUUUGGCAACCAAAUUAUGGAUAAAUACCACACUAUAGCAUGUAACCUUUGAGUCAUAUAUGCAUGAUGUAGAUGUUCGUUUAAUUCUUAUAGUUCAUCUCAUUCAAAAUCAAUUAGUUUUUAUAAAAAAGUUGAUCUAUUUUAAGAUUCAUGGAAUUGUGCGUUGUAAAGAAUAAAGUAAAAACAAAUAAUGGCAAUUCAUCUAGACAAAAAGUUUGGGCAAUUAUGAUACGAAAGAGUCUAGAACAAAGGAGAAGUGCGUGUGUUUUGAGAUUUGUGCAUUAUGCUUAAGUUCAACCAUGGAGUCUUCUAGAUUGUACAUGUGGAAGAAUCUGGUGGAAUGUAGAUGAUAUCCAACGGCCAGUAGUGCUCGGAUUUGCCAUCUUUGCACUAUCGGAUUGGCUUCAUCCAAUGACCAUCUUUCAAAGUUAUUCGCACACUAUAUAGGGGUUCAGACAUGGCGAUCGAGUCGCAAGAUGAACUCAUUGAAGAUGACAUAAAGAUGAAUGUUUGAUUGAUAAUAUGGCUUGCAAUAACUGUCGGAUGUGAUAAACCGAUUACAAGUAUGACUAACUUUGAGAGGAAUGAUGUGGUGAUGAUGGUGACGUCGGCCAUGGAGAUGAGGUGGGCAAUGGUGGCAGCAGGGGUUGGAAGAUGGGUUCUACUCCCUCCGUUCCAAAUUACUCGUCAUGGUUUUAGUUCAAAUUUGAACUAAAAGCACGACGAGUAAUUUGGAACGGAGGGAGUAGUUCUCUGUUCAGUGAAUGGUUCUCUCCCUGUUGAUAUUUUGGUGUCAACUUCUUUAUAGAAGCUGGUCAGGUGAACCAUUUGAAGCUGGUGUUAUGUCGUACGAGUGGCGGUACGAGCUGGUGUGCUUGUACCAUGUGUUGUCUUGCGCUCUGUUUUGCCUACUGCACCUCCUAUUGACAUGCCUCUUCCACUAAACUUCGUACUUCCUUGUAUAUGAUGAUAUCCUCCCAUAUUUAUGCCCUUUUCCUGCAGAAGCACAUUAAACAAAGGAUUUACUAAUCUCGCAUUCAUUAGUCAUUAGUGGCAAUAUCAGAGUGAUUUUGUCCGAAAUUUCGAGAUUAUCAGCUUUAAGCAACGAUGCGAUGAGCGUAAAAACAUCACUCAUCACCAAUCUCAUGAAAUAGACUCGUAUGACUGUCGUAUUCCAUAGCCCAAUUAGGAUUGUGGCCCUUCAUACAAAGAAGUGGUGGAACCUAUAAAAAAUAAACAACCUAUUGCUUUCCUUCCUACUCAAUAACAACAAUUGAACAGUAGAUCUAAUUACCUGCCCUCUUUCGAUGGCCCUUGCAUGAUGCUUCGCUUCAUAAGAACCAUCAAGUCUAGGGUACCUAUUAACCCCCGCCAUCCUACAUAAUACAUAUAGGUAUAUUAAUACAAGCUACCAUAUCAUAAAUGUCCAUUUAUUUGUGAUCAUAUUUAUCCAAUGCCUAGAAGUUCAUGAAAAUCACAUAAAUAUGCCAACAAGUUUUUUAUCCAUAGACAUUACAAAGUUCAAACAAAUUUAAACAUAAACUUAUAAUUUAUUUUAGUGCUCAACAAACAGCCAACAAUACCUAUAUCCUACUAACAUGCCACUAACUUUUGAUGAAUGAUAUACAAUCAUAAAUACAUUUGAACAAUCAUAUACAAUCCCAAUGAUAAUUCUCUCUAAAUCACAUACAUAUUUCACCAAAACAUAGCCAUAUACAUAGAUAAUCCCUAAAUUUUUCGCUCUAAAGCAAGGAUUCCACGAUAAAUACAUGAUAGUUCAACUAUCUGUUGCUUCUCAACCAAAUCUAGCCCAAAUAAUCUUCAAUUUUGGGGGAAACUACUUUUAGCGUUUCACCAAUACACAAAAAUGCACCUAAAAUAGCAUAUUUGAAACGCAGAGAAUUGGAGGAAUAGGGGAGAAUACCUCAACAAGUUGGGAGGCUCAAAUCCACAAGUUUUGGCGGGCAAACACCUCGAUUUUAGGGGUAUUUGAUGGAGGAGAGAGGGGCGACGCCUCUGUUCUUCGUGGCGAAGUCGCCCCUGUUCUUCAUGGCGACGGGGAGGAAGACGACCCCAUGGGGUUGCGAAUGGGUUGGGUCCCACCCGCAAACACUUGCCUAUUUGCGGAAGAAAUAUCAAGGCCUGGAGUGUUUCCAAAAACACGUUUCACUUCGGUGUUUCCCCUGCCACGUAGGCGUUCAAUGGUGACUUGACCAGGUCGUGGGCAAGGCCAGAAAUACAAUUCACUUUAGUGUGUCUAGCUGGAGUAGAAAUGCCCGGAGGCUGCGUGUUUACCAAAAGAGUCAGAUCGUGCUAAAGUUCCUGAUAGCGUCAAUUUUUUUUAGAAAAGGAGGAUUACCCCAGCCUCUGCAUCUGGACGAUGCAUGCAGCCAUUUUAUUAAUUAUUCACCAAGACCUUACAAAGUAGUACAUCAGGUAGUCUGAAGCCACCAUCUUAGCAAUAGUUGUCUCUACUCCUAUCCACUUGAUGAAGGUGUGCCGAUAGUCCGAGCCUAAUACCAAACAUAUAUCGCACAAAUGAAGGAAAUAUGCCCUAGAGGCAAUAAUAAAGUUUUUAUUUAUAUUUCCUUAUAUCAUGAUAAAUGUUUAUUAUUCAUGCUAGAAUUGUAUUAACCGGAAACUUAGUACAUGUGUGAAUACAUAGACAAACAGAGUGUCACUAGUAUGCCUCUAUUUGACUAGCUCGUUAAUCCAAGAUGGUUAAGUUUCCUAGCCAUAGACAUGAGUUGUCAUUUGAUGAAUGGGAUCACAUCAUUAGAGAAUGAUGUGAUUGACAAGACCCUGAUACGUCUCCAACGUAUCUAUAAUUUUUUAUUGUUCCAUGCUAUAUUAUAUUCUGUUUUGGAUGUUUAAUGGGCUUUAUUAUACACUUUUAUAUCAUUUUUGGGACUAACCUAUUAACCGGAGGCCCAGCCCAAAUUGCUGUUUUUUGCCUAUUUCAGUGAUUGGCAGAAAAAGAAUAUCAAACGGAGUCCAAACGGAAUGAAACCUUCAGGAACGUGAUUUUCGGAACGAACGUGAUCCAGAGGACUUGGACCCUACGUCAAGAAAGCAACCAGGAGAGCACGAGGUAGGGGGGCGCGCCUACCCCCAGGGCGCACCCUCCACCCUCGUGGGGCCCAUGUUGCUCCACCGACGUACUUCUUCCUCCUAUAUAUACCUACGUACCCCCAAACCAACAUAAGCAUCCACGAAAACCUCAUUCCACCGCUGCAACCUUCUGUACCCGUGAGAUCCCAUCUUGGGGCCUUUUCCGGCGUCCUGCCGGAGGGGGCAUUGAUCACGGAGGUCUUCUACAUCAACACCAUAGCCUCUCCGAUGAUGUGUGAGUAGUUUACCUCAGACCUUCGGGUCCAUAGUUAUUAGCUAGAUGGCUUCUUCUCUCUCUUUGGAUCUCAAUACCAUGUUCUCCCCGAUUAUCGUGGAGAUCUAUUCGAUGUAAUCUUCUUUUGCGGUGUGUUUGUUGAGACCGAUGAAUUGUGGGUUUAUGAUCAAGUUUAUCUAUGAACAAUAUUUGAAUCUUCUCUGAAUUCUUUUAUGUAUGAUUGGUUAUCUUUGCAAGUCUCUUCGAAUUAUCAGUUUGGUUUGGCCUACUAGAUUGAUCUUUCUUGCAAUGGGAGAAGUGCUUAGCUUUGGGUUCAAUCUUGCGGUGUCCUUUCCCAGUGACAGCAGGGGCAGCAAGGCACGUAUUGUAUUGUUGCCAUCGAGGAUAACAAGAUGGGGUUUAUAUCAUAUUGCAUGAGUUUAUCCCUCUACAUCAUGUCAUCUUACUUAAAGCAUUACUCUGUUCUUAUGAACUUAAUACUCUAGAUGCAUGCUGGAUAGCGGUCGAUGUGUGGAGUAAUAGUAGUAGAUGCAGGCAGGAGUCGGUCUACUUGUCUCGGACGUGAUGCCUAUAUACAUGAUCAUACCUAGAUAUUCUCAUAACUAUGCUCAAUUCUAUCAAUUGCUCAACAGUAAUUUGUUUACCCACCGUAAUAUUUAUGCUCUUGAGAGAAGCCACUAGUGAAACCUAUGCCCCCCGGGUCUAUUUUCCAUCAUAUUAAUCUUCCAACACUUAGUUAUUUCUUGCGCCGUUUAUUUUGCUUUCUUUACUUUUAAUCUUUAUCCUAAAAAUACCAAAAAUAUUAUCUUAUCAUAUCUAUCAGAUCUCACUCUCGUAAGUGACCGUAGAGGGAUUGACAACCCCUUUAUCGCGUUGGUUGCGAGGUUUUUGUUUGUUUGUGUAGGUGCGAGGGACUCGUGCGUGGUCUCCUACUGGAUUGAUACCUUGGUUCUCAAAAACUGAGGGAAAUACUUACGCUACUUUACUGCAUCACCCUUUCCUCUUCAAGGGAAAACCAACGCAGUGCUCAAGAGGUAGCAAGAAGGAUUUCUGGCGCCGUUGCCGUGGAGUCUAUGCAAAAGUCAACAUACCAAGUACCCAUCACAAACUCAUCUCCCACGCAUUACAUUAUUUGCCAUUUGCCUCUCGUUUUCCUCUCCCCCACUUCACCCUUGCAGUUUUAUUCGCCCUCUCUUUUCCAUUCGCCUCUUUUUCGCUUGCUUCUUCUUUGCUCAUUUGUUGGAUUGCUUGCUUGUCACGAUGGCUCAAGAUAAUACUAAAUUGUGUGACUUUAUCAAUACCAAGAACGAUGAUUUUCUUAGCACCCCGAUUGCUCCUCUUACCGAUCCUGAAUCCUGUGAAAUUAAUGCUGCUUUAUUGAAUCUUGUCAUGAAAGAUCAAUUCGCCGGCCUUCCUAGUGAAGAUGCCGCUACCCAUCUAAAUAGCUUCGUUGAUUUGUGUGAUAUGCAAAAGAAGAAAGAUGUGGACAAUGAUAUUGUUAAAUCGAAGCUAUUUCCUUUUUCGCUUAGAGAUCGCGCUAAGCUUGGUUUUCGUCUUUGCCUAAAAAUAGUAUUGAUUCAUGGAAUAAGUGCAAAGAUGCUUUUAUCUCUAAGUAUUUUCCUCCCGCUAAAAUCAUCUCUCUUAGAAAAGAUAUUAUGAAUUUUAAGCAACUUGAUCAUGAACAUGUUGCACAAGCUUGAGAGAGGAUUAAAUUAAUGAUACGUAAUUGCCCUACACAUGGUUUGAAUCUUUGGAUGAUUAUACAAAAAAUUUAUGCCGGAUUGAAUUUUGCUUCUAGAAAUCAUUUAGAUUCGGCCGUGGGAGGCACUUUUAUGAAAAUCACUUUAGGAGAAGCUACUAAACUCCUAGAUAAUAUUAUGGUUAAUUAUUCUCAAUGGCACACCGAAAGAUCUACUAAUAAAAAAGUGCAUGCGAUAGAAGAAAUUAAUGUUUUGAGUGGAAAGAUGGAUGAACUUAUGAAAUUAUUUGCUAUUAAAAGUGUUUCUUCUGAUCCUAAUGAUAUGCCUUUGUCUACUUUGAUUGAGAAUAAUAACGAAUCUAUGGAUGUGAAUUUUGUUGGUAGGAAUAAUUUUGGUAACAACGCGUAUAGAGGAAACUUUAAUCCUAGGCCAUAUCCUAGUAAUGCCUCUAAUAAUUAUGGUAAUUCCUACAACAACUCUUAUGGAAAUUUUAAUAAGAUGCCCUCUGAAUUUGAGACUAGUGUUAAGGAGUUUAUGAAUUCGCAAAAGAAUUCCAAUGCUUUGCUUGAAGAAAAAUUGCUCAAAGUUGAUGAAUUGGCUAGGAACGUUGAUAGAAUUUCUUGAUGUUGAUUCUUUGAAACUUAGAUCUAUUCCACCCAAGCAUGGUAUCAAUGAGUCUCUCAAAGCCAUGAGAAUUUCCAUUGAUGAGUGCAAAGAAAGAACCGCUAGGAUGCGUGCUAAGAAAGAUUGCUUUGUGAAGGCGUGUUCUUCUAACUUUUAUGAAAAUAAAGAUGAAGAUCUAAAAGUUAUUGAUGUGUCCCCUAUUAAAUCUUUGUUUUGCAAUAUGAAUCCUGAUAAUGAUGGGACUGAAUAUGAACCACCUUUACCUAGAAGGCAUUCCAAAAAUUCGGAGUCUUUAGAUCUUGAUGCUAAAAUUGGUAAAAGUGGGAUUGAAAAGAUCAGAACUCUAGAUAUUAAUGAACCCACUAUUUUGGAUUUCAAGGAAUUUAAUUAUGAUAAUUUCUCUUUGAUAGAUUGUAUUUCCUUGUUGCAAUCUGUGCUAAAUUCUCCUCAUGCUUAUAGCCAAAAUAAAGCUUUUACUAAACAUAUCGUUGAUGCUUUGAUGCAAUCUUAUGAAGAAAAACUUGAGUUGGAAGUUUCUAUCCCUAGAAAACUUUAUGAUGCGUGGGAGCAUACUAUUAAAAUUAAAAUUAAAGAUCAUGAAUGCUAUGCUUUGUGUGAUUUGGGUGGUUUCCACGAUUCCAAAAACUUUAUGUGAUUUGCUAGGUUUCCGUGAUUUUGAUGAUUGCUCUUUAAACUUGCACCUUGCGGAUUCCACUAUCAAGAAACCUAUGGGAAGAAUUAAUGAUGUUCUUAUUGUCACAAAUAGGAAUAUGUGCCCGUAGAUUUUAUUGUUCUUGAUAUAGAUUGCAAUCCUUCAUGUCCUAUUAUUCUUGGUAGACCUUUCCUUAGAACGAUUGGUGCAAUUAUCGAUAUGAAGGAAGGGAAUAUUAGAUUCCAAUUUCUGUUAAGGAAAGGCAUGGAACACUCCCCUAGAAAGAAAAUAAAAUUACCUUAUGAAUCUAUUAUGAGAGCCACUUAUGGAUUGCCUACCAAAGAUGGCAAUACCUAGAUCUAUCCUUGCUUUUAUGCCUAGCUAGGGGUGUUUAACGAUAGCGCUUGUUGGGAGGCAACCCAAUUUUAUUUUUAGGUUUUUGCUUUUUGCUUCUGUUUAGGAAUAAAUAUUUGUUCUAGCCUCUGGUUAGAUUUGUUUUUAUGUUUUAAUUAGUGUUUGUGCCAAGUUAAACCUAUAGGAUCUUCUUGGAUGAUAGUUAUUUGAUCUUGCUGAAAAUUCCAGAAACUUUAUGUUCACGAAAAUAAUUGUUAAAAAUCAAUAGAAUGUGGUAAAUAUUGAUUCCAAUUGCUGCUUAUCAAUAAACAAAUUGUCUAGGUCGUCCUAUUUUGGCUGAAUUUUUUUGAGUUCCAGAACUUUGCGUUAGUUACAGAUUACUACAGACUUUUUGACAGAUUCUGUUUUUCGUGUGUUGUUUGCUUAUUUUGAUGAAUCUAUGGCUAGUAAAAUAGUUUAUAAACCAUAGAGAAGUUGGAAUACAGUAGGUUUAACACCAAUAUAAAUAAACAAUGAGUUCAUUACAGUACCUUGAAGUGGUGUUUUGUUUUCUUUCGCUAACGGAGCUCACGAGAUUUUCUGCUAAGUUUUGUGUUGUGAAGUUUUCAAGUUUUGGGUAGAAGAUUUGAUGGAUUAUGGAACAAGGAGUGGCAAGAGCCUAAGCUUGGGGAUGCCCAUGGAACCCCAAGAUAAUCUAAGGACACCAAAAAGCCAAAGCUUGGGGAUGCCCCGGAAGGCAUCCCCUCUUUCGUCUACUUCCAUCGGUAACUUUACUUGGAGCUAUAUUUUUAUUCACCACAUGAUAUGUGUUUUGCUUGGAGCGUCUUGUAUUAUUUGAGUCUUUGCUUUUUAGUUUACCACAAUCAUCCUUGCUGUACACACCUUUUGAGAGAGACACACACAAAUCGGAAUUUAUUAGAAUACUCUAUGUGCUUCACUUAUAUCUUUUGAGCUAUAUAGUUUUUGCUCUAGUGCUUCACUUAUACUUUUUAGAGCACGGCGGUGGUUGUAUUUUAUAGAAAUUAUUGAUCUCUCAUGCUUCACUUAUAUUAUUUUGAGAGUCUUAAAACAGCAUGGCAAAUUGCUUUAAUUAUAAUAUCAUGAGAAAUUUGAUGCUUGAUAAUUGUUUUGAGAUAUAAAGGUGGUAAUAUCAUAGUUGUGCUAGUUGAGUAAUUGUGAAAUUGAGAAAUACUUUUGUUGGAGUUUGUGAUUCCCGUAGCAUGCACGUAUGGUGAACUGUUAUGUAACAAAGUCGGAGCAUGAGGUAUUUGUUGAUUGUCAUCCUUUGUGUGGCGGUCGGGAUCGCGCGAUGGUUAACUCCUACCAACCCUUCCCCUAGGAGCAUGCGUAGUAGUACUUUGCUUCGAGGGCUAAUAAAUUUUUGCAAUAAGUAUAUGAGUUCUUUAUGACUAAUGAGAGUCCAUGGAUUAUACGCACACUUACCUUUCCGCAAUUUUCUAGCCUCUUCGGUACCGUGCAUUGCCCUUUCUCACCUUGAGAGUUGGUGCAAACUUCGCCGGUGCAUCCAAACCCCCGUGAUAUGAUACGCUCUAUCACACAUAAACCUCCUUAUAUCUUCCUCAAAACAGCCACCAUACCUACCUAUUAUGGCAUUUCCAUAGCCAUUCCGAGAUAUAUUGCCAUGCAACUUUCCACCGUUUCGUUUAUCAUGACACGCUCCAUCAUUGUCAUAUUGCUUCGCAUGAUCAUGUAGUUGACAUCGUAUUUGUGGCAAAGCCACCGUUCAUAAUUCUUUCAUACAUGUCGCUCUUGAUUCAUUGCAUAUCCCGGUACACCGCUGGAGGCAUUCACAUAGAGUCAUAUCUUGUUCCAAGUAUUGAGUUGUAAUUCAUGAGUUGUAAGUAAAUAAAAGUGUGAUGAUCAUCAUUAUUAGAGCAUUGUCCCAAGUGAGGAAAGGAUGAUGGAGACCAUGAUUCCCCCACAAGUCGGGAUGAGACUCCGGACUAAAAAAAGA
rnacentral:lncRNA from 1 species